rnacentral:lncRNA from 1 species
UUUUUUUUUUUUUUUACUUUCCAAACAAAUCUCUUAAUUUUUCAAUUGUUGAAUUAAAUGAUGUAAAUCCAAUAUAGAGUGUGUGAAAGACAAAAUAAAUGUAUGAAUAGCACCACAUUCAACAAUUAACAAUUAGACAUCAAACCUCACUAUAAAUAUUUAUCGUUCGAGUCAAACUUAAUACUUUAUUCAAUUAAGUAAAUUCAAAUAUCGCUAUACGCAUGAUUAUGUUUUGCAACUGCAAUAAAAGCGUCAUUUGUAUUAAAUUCUGUGCUUGAUGCUAAUGAAAUUGCAUAAAUGAGAUUAUGAAACAUUAAUUUACUUUCAAUUGAUAAUGGUGGGGAAAUAUUUGGUUAUUAGCUCAUGUGAAUAUAACACGUCGUCACUGAUAUGCAAGAAUGUUUCGAUUAAGGUAUUAUUUAUUUAUUUUUAAUUUUUUAGCAAAUGUUACAGUACUAUUUAUUGAACAAGGAUAGAGUAACGAUUCGAUUGUCAACCAUAUGAACAUAACGUUCAUUACGUGAUUCGGUCAUAUAAAGAUACGUUCCUGACGAUAUACAAAUUUUUUUAUUAUAUAUUCUGCCUUCUAUUCACGCAAAACAAAUUACAAUUUAAUAUCAAACUUACUACGAAGAUAUGCAUAUUGUUAUUGAUGAAAAUGAUCAUGUGCGCCAUGUCAUAAUUGUUAAAUCAGAAUGGAUCAAGAAUCUACCCAACCACAUUGUUUGACAUUCGGAUAACUUAAUCAGGCUAAUCAAGCUAAUGUUGCUGACAUAUGCGCUUCCGUCAUCAACUGCUUCAAUUACAUACACACUCAGUCAGCGGAAAAAAAUCAACUUCAAAUUGUUGAAACGCCCCUUUUGAUUUUCGCAAUUUCCCACUUUAUCACCAUUUUUCGUUUUGUUUAUGCAUUAUAUUUUGAAAUAUAUUAAUCCAACUUAAACUAUAGGACUAACUGCAAGUGACUUUUACUACAAUGGUGGAAAUGAUAUGAGUUUCAUGACGACGUGGGUUCGAACUCCGUUAAUGGUUAAUAUACAUUUAAUCUAACAAAAUUUAUCGUUUGAUAAAAAAAAAAAAACACAAGGACUAAUUGCAUUUCACAACUUUCAUGUCGGUGAGUAUAAAAUCCAUAACUCUGACAUAUAAGUCACAUUUAUAGCAUAUUAACUACAAAACUAAUCAACUUAAGAGAUAUUUAGACAUUCUAAUAUCUUAAGUGAUAACGUGAUAAAAUUAAAACCUCACUACCCAUUUUAAAAAUCAUCUCAAAUUUUGAGGUGUAAUAUGCAGUCCUAAAUUAUAUAGUUUUAAAUUCCCAGAACAUCCUAGACGGUUUGCUUUACAACAGAAAAUUGUAAGGUUAUUAUCGUCUUUUCGGUAUUUAUUUUUGAGGUAAGUAGGUGGAAGGUAAGACUAUUCUCAGUCAAAGUCAACGAAAUAACGGAAAGCGACUUUGGAAGUCACGGUUGCCCUCCACCACAAUUGUCGAAAGACCAAAUUAUCCUGGGAGUUAUGUGGAUUUUAAUUUCAGUUACAGAUAUAUACUUUGUGACUGUUUUAUUUUUUGGUGAAAAGACUGAAUGUUUACAUUAAACUAUAUUUUAUCUAUUUUUAACAUAUUUACAUGGUUAAUGAAUUUAAUGUUUACGGUAUAAAUUCGAUAAAAAAAAUACAAGAAGUUUGUAAUUCAAGUUGUCCAAUAUUUAUUUAUGUAUUCGAGGUUAUAAAUUUGAUUUUUCUUUCAUUUAGAAUUGCUUGUAUAAAAACACAUAAUAGUAACAUAUAAAACUAAUGCACAUGGUGAAGGUAAUAGUUGUUAGGGUCUUCCUCUUUGACCCGUUGCGUUCUAAUUCAAAUUCCCCUUCUAUCUCAAUUAUUGUAAAAAAAAAAAAAACUAAUUCAAAGAUAACAGUAACAAUUAUCCUUUCAAUUCAUGUCUCGAGUUUAGUUUUUCUCAACCACUACCACUUGAAUAAAAACAACCUACUGACAUAUAAAGGAAAUAUUAAGAGUUAGUAUUACGGUGUAUGAUUUAAUCUCUUGAGGAAAAUAAAAGUGAACAUGCAAUGUAAUACUAACUCUUAAUAUUUUUAUUUUUCAAGUCAUUAAAUCCAAAAACUAAAAGACAUGAAAUAUAAAAAUAGGUGCUAUGGAGGGCAUCACCUCGUAUAAAAAUGAUAUAUGACAAAAAGGAGACAACAAAGGCACAAUCGUAAAUAAGGAAAGAAGCAAAGGCCAUUUUCGUCUACAAAAUCAGCCGCCUUUCUAAUAAAACCUAUCGUUCCCAAUAGCAGCCCCAACUUUGCGAUUUCUGUCGAUUCCGAAUCCGCUUGCUCGUGACUCGUGAGUCGUGACUCGCGAGCUUCACUCCCUCUCUCUCUCUCUCCGGCAAACCACCUCCGAGCUUUUUUCUUCACAAACCCUAAUUUUCCCAAUCCCCAAUUGUUUCCCCCAAAUCACCUCCAGUUCUGUAACCCCACCUUUCAAUUCAACCUUCCCGCUGCCGAUUCACCGUCGUCAACCUCCGCAAUGGCAUCCAUCGCUUGCUAGGGUUUCCUAGAUCCAUCCCGUCACUCUUCGACAGCACACUGCACCACUACCUCACCAACCUAAUCAAAUUCAUAGUUAUGGCUAUUCGUGUCACCCUGAGCUUCUCCGGCUAUGUGGCCCAAAACCUUGCAUCCUCGGCAAACCUCCGCGCGGGGAACUGCCGAGGAUUUCACGAAUGCUGGGUCAGGUCUCGGGUAUUAGGAUCCAGCCAGAAGCCCGAUAUCAACCCCUCUGUCCCCGUCCACAAUUACCAGACCCAAUUCUCCCGCUCGAAGCAUUCGUCGGCCGCCGUUAGGCCCUUGCCGUCGCUGUACACCGCCCUCGCCGAGGAGAUUCUAGGCGAGAGCAGCAAGAGCCCGAUCUUUCUGGGGUUGAUCUCGCUUCUGAAGUCAACGGCUAUCGCCACCGGCGUCUCUUCGGCUCCGGCCGCCAUGGGGAUUUCGCCGUUUAAUGUCAGUUCGAUCAUGCCCUCUUUACAGGCAUCGAAGUGGCUGCCCAGCAACGACACCGUCCCGGAAUCGAUAAUGAAGGAAGUGGAUAAAGGUGGAACCUUGUGCGUGGACGAGGUUGCUCAGGCCUCGCAGCUGGCUAAGAAAGACUUGGGCAGGACCGGGUUUUUGUCACGAUUGUUGAAUUCUUGCUCGGAGGACGCUAAGGCUGUGUUCACUGCUGUUACAGUAAGUGUAUUGUUUAAGUCCUUCCUGGCUGAGCCCCGAUCGAUUCCCUCCACUUCAAUGUAUCCCACUCUCGAUGUGGGUGACCGAGUUUUGGCGGAGAAGGUUAGUUCACGUUCGAAUUUUCGCCAUCUUUUAAUUUGUUCAAUGUUGGUUUUCCUGAUUGAUUGAUAGUUUAUAUAGUCUUGGUUAGUACAAUGUGAAUUUGAAUUGGGAUAUGGAAAUUUAUGCUUGCAAGCUCUACUUGGUGAAUUAAUAAAUGUGGAAAAUUUUCUUCUGUUGGUGUGUGAAAUCGAUUACGUGUAGGACAUUAUAUUCUCAACCAGAUUCUCAGUUCAGCUGAUAUAUUUUCUUCCUUUGAUGAAUCAGGUUUCAUAUUUCUUUAAAAAUCCUGAGGUCUCAGAUAUAGUAAUUUUCAAGGCACCUCCAAUCUUACAGGUAAAGUAUAUAACUACAUUUUGUAAGAGUCUUUCAAUUGCACCCUUAGUUACAUUUGGUAAUAAAUUUUAGCAUGGGUGCUGACAUUUUUUCUUCUUCUGUUUUGUUGUGUACUGUGUAGGAAAUUGGUUACAACUCAACCGAUGUAUUCAUCAAAAGGAUUGUAGCUAAGGCUGGAGAUUGGGUCGAGGUAAUAAUCUUGAUAGUCUUCGUAGUUCAUGGUUAUAACUUAUAAGUUUAUAGCUCAGGCAAUCUAUUCAUAAAAUUGAAAAAUUAUAUGCCUUGGUUUUUGACGUGUGGAUUUCUAUUGAUCAGGUUCGCAAUGGGAAAUUGCUUGUCAAUGAUCUUGUUCAGAAUGAAAAUUACAUAUUGGAGCCGCUCAAUUAUGAAAUGGAUCCAGUGGUAGGCAUCCUCUUCUGGCUUCUCAUUGAUUUCUUUUCCUUCAGUUGAUUUGGAUACGGAGGGACGUGGACAAUUGCUUACAAAAUUGUGACCUGCUUGUCUGAUUAUGCAGCUUGUUCCAGAAGGCUAUGUCUUCGUAUUGGGAGAUAAUCGCAACAAUAGUUUUGACUCUCAUAACUGGUACGUCUAAGCUCUUAGUUUAGCACAUUAAGAUCGUUAUCCUUCCAACUGAAUUGUUAUUUCUUCGUAACCAAAAAAAGAAUUAUUGCAUCGCUGACAUGUUGAUGUUGUUUACUUGUUUUCAGGGGUCCACUUCCUGUGAAAAACAUUCUUGGCAGAUCGGUAUUUCGCUACUGGCCUCCUUCCAAGGUGUCUGACACCACUUUUGAACCACAAGGACCAAAUAACGACGUUGCAGUUUCUUGACCGGUUGCCCUCUGUUUGCAGGGGGAUGACCUCAGAAUACAUUCUUGUUCUCUUAUCAAGAUAGUGAAUUGACUUACACCACUCUUUUGGCUCGUUUUCGAGCACUUUGAAGAUGAUUUGGAUGGAUAAACUUAUCCAUCAGUCUGUGAAUCUGUAUGAAAUUUAAACUUACUCUGAACGAACAAAAGAAAGAUGAAGCUGAAGUGUUCAACUUAUAUGAUUCAUCAAAUUAUUUUGUUCUUAUAUGUUGUUGGGAGGUUCAGCUGCCAUACAUGAGGUUUCCGCACCUGUGAGGAACCAAACGUCCGAAGGAAGGGGAAGAUUCAUCUGGAAAUGCAGCACCUCUCGUGCCGGGUGAAGGUCUGAUCGCCUUAGAUGCUGUGGGGAUGAUUCUUGUCAAACGAAGAGACGGAGAUGGUUCGCGGAUGGUAGCCGCAGAUGGUUCUUUGCAGUAAUGUUGAAAGCUUGCCCAUGAAUUGAACCUGGCCUCCCUUUUUUCCUGUUGCCUGUAGGCUUUGCUUGCUUCCUUCGAAGCAUCCGUGUAAAAUGACGUCUUUGGAGUUCUGCUGUUCCAUUUUAUAAGACGCAUUGUUCAUCUGUGUAAAUCGUUGUUCGUUAAUAAUCCGAUCAAACUGCUCCCUUGAUUGAGUAGUUGGUAUUUAGGGCCUAUUUGAUACUCUAUUUGAAUUUAAUUUUUUAAAUUCAAGAACAAUUUUUAAGUUUUAGACCUUAAAUACUUGUUUGCUAGAAUUAUUUUCAAAAACUGAACUCAAGAUUAAUUAAAAAUUAUAGUUUAUUUUUUAAAAACAUAAAAAAUGAGUUUUUAGAAACACCAAUCAAGUUUUUGAAUCUUAAAGAAAAUUGUUUUCAAGAAAUGUUCUUAACAAAUGUUUUGAGAAAUGAUAAAAAUUUUCAAAUGAAAUACCAAACAGGCCCUUAGCUUUUCUUCUUGUGCUAAUGCAUCAAGGGAACGAUUUCAAUUCUAUUUUUGUUCAACUACAUGAAAUGUUUUGUUUUGAUAUAUGAAUCCGAAUUGAACCAAAAAGAUCAAACUGCCCUCUGUUCAAUUUAGUCAUUCCAUAUUCAAUUUCACCACACCAAAUUUUUUUUUAAGAACCAGAAAUACUAACAGAUGCAUUUCUGUUCCGCCUGGCCACUAACAUUAAAAAUCGAACUCAAGACGUUCCGUAUAAAAUACGGACUAAAAGUACAAAUCCUCAUCCCUACUCAAUGAAAAAUGAAACUAAUUAUAGCAACCAAAUGAAAAAAAAUUUAAAAUAAGAUAACUGGCAGGUAAAAAAAAUAACGGUCUGAUGAGGAAGGUUAUCCCAUCAUCAUUGGAACCCAAAACGCAAACACGGCGGUGAGAGAGUGGGACGCGAUCCCUUCCGCUUAAGUCAGUCGUUGACGAAUCAAAACAUACACAAAAAACGAUGAGGACCGGCGGCGCCACCGUCUCCCUCCUCCUCUUCCUCUGCCUCCAGUUCCCACUUCAAUUAAUUCUCGCUUUCAAUUCUUCCUCUCUAAACAACGACACGCGAAUCUUGCAGGUACUCUCUCUUGUCGACCUCAUCUCUCUCUCUCCUUUUUUCUACAGCGCUGUGAUUUUUAAUUUCUACUUUUCUUUCCAUUUUUUGGUGAAUUUUGAAGGAAGUUCUGAAGCAAAUCUCGGCCAAGCACAAGUGGGAUUUGCAGGACGUGAGGGUCUCCAGGCUGGAUGUGGGCAGGGUCCGAUUCGGGAGCGCCCAGCGGUACGAGUUCCGGGUCGGAUUCGGGAAGAUCCACGUCGGCGUCUUGUUCUCUGACGACGUCGCUUCCUGGAAGAAGUUCAGGAAACCCAGGACCCAUUUGGGCUCUCUCGUUCAGGAGCUCAGCUCCAUGGCCGUUGUCGACACCUUCGAAGUGGAGGGUCCGUUUGAGUUGCGGGUCGCCGGCGCUCACGAGCUCUCGCUUUCAUUGCCGGUAAGCUCAAUGCUUAAUCGAUGCUUCAUUCAAUGCUUAAUCGAACUUGAAUUUCAUAAUUAUGUUAGUUGUCUUGAUUGGUUCUCAUCAGUUUACAAAUGAUUCGAUCAAAAAGAGAACUUCUUCACUAAAUUGUCACUAAACCGGCACUUAACGAACACGAAAAAUCUGUUUUAUUGUGCUGUUUACUGCCCCAUGUAUUGAAAAUUUGUAGAAUUCUAUUUCUGCAUACUUUGAAAGUGUUUCCGAACUGGUUUUGAUUGACACUAUAGCUCACUUGUUGCUCGUUUGGAGUUUUCGGACAAUUUCAUGUACGAAUAGCUUGAGCAAUUGCGUUUAUAUAUUGUAGAUGAACACUACAUAUAAUGGGUUGAAAAGGAUUCUUGUUGGUGAAGGCAUAACCGUGGAGGUAAGCAGAGCGAUCGAAGUCUCUGUGUUUCAUGCGUCUGAUCUUGGUUUAUCAUCAAAUGGCAGUGGUGCUACUAAGGAGAGGAGUGAGUUUUGGUCCAUUGGGCAUUCAUACUGUGCCCCAUUAGUUCCGAUUCGUGUUUUUGGGCCGGCAACAUUGGUUGCAUACAAGACUCGAAAUCAUGAUGCCCACAUUGAAACUAAUUUUAUUUCCAAGGAGAUAGUUGAAUUGUUGCCAGAGAAGUGCUACAGAAGUCAUGCAUACAAGAAGCGGCCUUGCCCUGUUGAUUCUUUAAGUUUGAGGAUAUCUAUGCUGGAAAGAAUUUGGAAAGGCUUUCUUGGUGAUAGAAUUCGCCAGAACAAAUUGUCGGGAUUUGUUGAAGGAAAAAUCAAAGCUUCAACUAUUGUUCGCUUCAAGGUUGAGCUCAAAUUGGAUUUUCGGAGGGUUGGUGCACUCCAUGACAAAGAUGGGUGGAGAACUAGGCCAGCUGUUCAACGGGUUUGGUUUGAAGUUUUGGCGAGAGUUGAAUUAAAGAGGGUUAAGCCUCUCUUUGUUAGAAAGAUUAGGCCCUUCAUUGUAGCUGAUUCAGUUGCAUGGAGUAGUUUGACGUCAAAUAUUUCCUUUACCAAGUCCGGAUCUGUCCUUGGCCCUCCUGAGGCGUUAACACUGGAUGUGAAGUGGUAGAGUAAACCUGUUGUAAAGUAUUUUUUUUUGAGAAUGUUUUGCAGAUUAAGGCGACAAGGCGUUGUUUGUGCCCAUGCCCUUUUGUUAUAUGAUGGAUGAAACAGUAUCUGCCAAUUGUUCGAUAGCACUCUCGAUUGCUCCUGUAAGUAAAUUGUUAAUUAAGAAAACAAACGUUAUACAGAUUGAUGACUUGAUAUUAGUUUGAUCUUUUUUCGCUUUCGACUUUAUAAUCUGAUAUAGUCAGGAUCGUUUUUGUUGGAUCGUUGCCUCUGCGAUCGCGUGAGUCUCAUUUUCAUUGCAUAAUCUUUUUCCCUCAUGAAUUUUUGGUUUCGGUUUUGGUGGAUACUCACUGUAUAUAUGUUGGAUGAAAAUGGUUAGUCUAGAAUAAUAUGUAAUCAUCAUAGGGAAACGAUUCCCGCACUCUGAUUUUCUCCAGAGUGCGGAAAUCAUUUCCCCUUAUCAUAUUGCCCUUCAUUUUGAAGUUUAAUAUCAUGUGUUAUGAAAUGCAUUUCAUAAUAUGGGUUCUCUUAAUAAUGUUGAUAAUCAUUACAAUAUAUACUAUUCAUUCAUAUACCGACAAGUGCCGUCCACACUCAUUUUUGUCUCUGACACACCUCUUGUUAAUUUAUAUCCUUUGAUCUUCUGCAAUUUAUUCGAUCCGAUGACCGAAAAUUGAGAGAGGUCUGUGAGAGGUAAAAAAUGGUGUGUAGAUAGCACCACCCUAAAACAAACCCUAACUAGGCUUUAACCAUUUCAACCUUCCCACUGUAAUCACCUUCCUUAAUCACUUCUACCUUUUUGUACUUAUACCAAGAUGCACAAACCACAUAACCUCCAAAAUUAAGCACACUGAGCCCUGCCAACAACCAAUAGAAAUAGUUCAGCUUAUCUCUGUUCAAAUUAUUGCUAGCCAGCCACCCGCCGCUGACUUUAUUCACCACCUCCACCACCACCGUGCUCAAGAAAUACCCAAACGCAAUCGAACACCACGAUAUGGCGGUGCUGAGAGACUUCAUUCCGACCGCACUCUCAGCAUAGAAGAACUCCAGAAGCCCUACCAAUGUAAACAUAUCUGCAGCUCCGAAAAUUGCAUACUGCAGCCCCAGCCAAAAAACACUCAUCGGCAGUGGCUCUGCGCUGUCGACCAUGUUGUGUUGAACCGCUACGUGUUUGCGGCGAGUUUCUACGAGUCCGGCCACCGCCAUGGAGAUAGCAGAGAGCACUAGCCCAACUGCGAUGCGCUGGAGGUGGCGUAUCCCGGUUGGGAUCCCGGUGAUUUUUCGAGCGAUUGGCACGAAAAUUCUUUCGUAAAUCGGGAUAAGAAAGAACAUGAAGGUUAAAGGGAUUGCUGGGAUUGAAGGGCCGGGAACUUUGAAUCCGAGCAGAUUACGGUUCAUGGUUGUGCUCUGUUGGAUUGAGAAGGUCUGGAGUUGCGCCAUGCAUGUGUUCAUGAAGACAGUGCUUAAUAUGAUUGGGAGCAUGCGGAUUAGGAGCUUUGUUUCUUCAACUUGUGUAACAGUGCAUAGGCUCCAUGAUCCAUGUACUGUAGGUGUUGAUGCACCGUCAGCCGUAGUGCCACUGGAGAUCGCUGCGCGGUCCAACCAUCUGAUAUGUAUUUCAUAAGCACUUUUAACUUUUUCAAUCAAACAUUAUAAGAAGCGCUUUUAGUUAUAUACAAGUGCUUCCAUUCUAAAAACACCGUCAAAACAAGACUUUUAGUAGUUUUGUCUUACAGUUCGAAUAGAGGAAAUUUGUAAGUGUAGACAAUCUCGAUUUACCUGAAUUGAUCUGUUCUCUGAAGAAUUUCAUGUUGUUCACCUGCUUCUUUGUCAUGGAUCUCAUGCAACUCCUCUGUAUUCUCAGGAAUUUGAAGUUUUCGGUUUUUGAUGGCAACCACACAAACCUAAACAAUCAAGAACAAACUUAAUCAACCUCUAAUUACGCAUUUAUGAAUGAAAGUAAUUGGCUCCUAACUCAGACAGUGUCUUUCUUAAAUAUUAAAGUUUGACACGUCUGCAUAAAUUUGUGAUUAAUUACCUGUAGGAUACUCAGGAGGGGACUUCCCUUGGGAACAUUGUUUCUGUAGAGUGACUUUCCCAUGCACACGAAAAGAAGAGCAAAGAGAACUGCAAUGGUGCACACAACAAAGGACAAGUCCCAACCAUGGUUGGUGCUGAUCCAAACCACAAAAGUGACACCAAAAAUAGCUCCAAUGGUGAGGCUGAACAAGAACCAGUUGAAGAAGCUGGACAACUGUGCUGCUCCCUUAGGGUCCUUCUCGUCGUAUUGGUCGGCUCCCAGGGCCGGCAAAGCUGCCUUGACGCCGCUGGUGCCUAAAGCCAUUAGGUAGAGUCCGGUGUAGAGCAUUGCAAGUUGGCUUGUGUUUGGAGCCUCACACUGGUACAUUUGGCUUGGUGCAACACCUUUGCAAGGGAAUGGCCUUAGUUGAGGGAAGUGUGCUUGUAUUGUUAACAGACCAAGUCCCUGCGAAUUUGUAAAUUAAUAAAUGAUUAGUUUUAGCCUUUCUUUUCGAUGAAUUCUAGCAUCAGUUGCGUAUACACAAAUAAACUUAUUAUAAUCAUUUUUUUCCCCAAAAUAAGAACGAUCAGGAUUAGCUCAUGAAGAAGUAGCACUCUUUUUUAACUAAAUUUGUUAGUUUACUGGUUUGUAAGAGGGAUAGGACUGCUAAGUUCCACAUGUAAGUACUGUUUAAUUAAGUGACAUGAUGUCAUCAUGAUUGUCUGCAUGCUGGAUCAUCAACCAACAGUAGCCACAUGAUAUCAUCAGCUAUCAUGGGGUUUACCAAUGAUCUUCUGGCUCUCCAUUAAGUCUAAAAUUAGAUUAUUCCUUUUGCAUUAAUCAAAUAUUUGCAGGCCGACAAGGCGCUUUUAUGCCCUUUUUUUAGGUUGGGUUGCUGGAUACGGGAUCCUGGUAGUAGGCUGGACCAACAUCCAGCCGAGAGAGGGCAGCCUUUACAAAUAAACAGUCUUUGGCUUCUUUUCUAAAGUUUCACUAAAAUUGAUUAUUUUGGUCUUUGCCAGAUGCAAUAUGCUAUUCGAAGAAGAUUCUUUUUAAGGAAAACUAAUGAAAAGAGUUUGAAAAUUUUGAGUUUUAACGAUAAGGACAAAAUAAAGGGUAAAGUGAAUAGUAUUAGGAUUGACUUUUUAGUGUAAAAAUAUGGUUUUUCGUUAAAGUGAACAGUACCGGGAGUUUUUCGUUAAAGUUCUCUUCUUUUUAUUAGGUGACCCUGACUACACACCAAUAUUCAACCUAUGGCUGUCAAAACAACCUAUCUUUCAUCCCGCUUUAAGCAACUGUGAACUGUUUAUAACACACAUAAAAGAUAAUGCUAGGGUGACUAAAUUUGUAGACAAAAUUUUGUAAACUAAAUAACAUGAAAGUUGAUGAUUGAAUUAUUUUUAAGUGUUGAUAAACGUGCAUGCUAAUUCUUAUUGGUGACACAUAAUUUAGUUUGCAAAUUUUGUAUAUAAAUUAGGCUCUCUAGCAUUACACACUCAAAUAUACCAUGUGAUAACUGUUGUAUAUACAAACAAAUAGACCACCAUUAAAUAACAAUAUAUAGUAAAAAUGUCUUAUUUUCUUUUAGAAGAUACUUACCACCAAUUCAAUGCAGAUGAAGACGACACAAGUUUUGAAUCUCGACCAAUAAGUAUCAGAGAUGAAGCCACCAACUAGGGUUAGUAUAAAUGCAGUCCCCAUGAAGUUGGUAAGAGUGGUGGCAGACUUUGUCAAGCUCAAGUUCAUAUAUCCAUAGAAAUAAGUCACAAGGCUCAUAGCAUUUGCAAUAAACGCCAUGUUCUCGAGUCCCUCCGUCGCUGCACGCAUGCACGUAAAUUCAGCAUGAAUAGUAAUUACGUACUUAAAGAGAAACUAAAAUCUAAAAAAGGAGUAAAUAUGAUAAUUUCAAUCGUAAAAGUUACCGAAAACGAAAAGUGCAGCUCGAUUUCCUCCUAGCCUUGCUGCAGCUGCCUGCUUAGGCUUGCCUUCAAACCUUUGGGAGAUGUCGGCCUAUUCAUAUAUAAUCUCAUAUUAGGGUUUUAAAAUGACAAAUAAAUAUGGGAUCAUAUAAAUGAUCUUAAUAAUUUUCUUUCUGUUGAGCUUGAAUGAUGCCUCUAGAAAGGUGAAUUACCAUUGUGCCUUGAAGUGUAGGAGGAGGGGGCCUGGUCUUCCGACUCUUCUGAGUUUUGUGGAGGUUGGAUGAUGGUUUCAUACUGAUACCCAAAAAGGAAUAUAUAUAGAGACGUACGGAUGCUUUUCUGGACAAAUGAUAACAAAAAGGAAUCAAUUGGCAUCUUUGGAUUUUGGAAGACUUGCUUGGCCAUAUUUUGUUUCUUAUAGGACCUAUAUGACUCUAUCUCUCUGCAUAAUAUGUAUUUAAUUAUGUAAUAAGGGUAUUGCCACGCUCAUGUGUGAGAAAUGAUAUAUGUUUCUUAACAUCAUUUAAAUUAAAAUGUUGAAUUUUUCUUGAGUAGUUUUUUUUUUUUAAUUUUUUUUAAUUUUUUUUUUACUACCCCACCCCUUACCCACCCCAAAGCCUUAACCCAAGACCUCCUAGACUACCUCACCCCUUACCCACACCCUCACCACUAGGCUAGUCCUAGUGGCUUGAAUUUUUCUUGAGUAGUUACGUACACUCAGUGUCGACACAUAUUUGAUCAUUAAAUUUGAUCCAAUACAUAUUUGACCAUUAAAUUUGAUCCAAUGAUUCUUUCUUCAUCUUCCCAAUUCUACCAGCACACAGACCAGAAACUCUCUCUCUUGCAAACAAAAAAAUUAGCAAAUUUCCAAUUUAAUAGAUAGUUUGAGUCGAAAUCUCAAACUUUUUGGUUGGUUUGUUUGUUGCUGUUGUUGUCCUGCUCUCUCUCUCCCCCCCCCCUCCGACACUGCGACUUAAGGAUUAACAGGAAAAAUUUCUAAUAUGUUCCCCCUAAAUCAUCAUUUCCGAUGAAACAGUUCCCAAUUUCUUAUUUCUCACCGGUUUUGAUAUGGGUUCCUCUCUUUUUAUGAGAUUGAGGUCAACGGUUGUUUGUUUUUCAUAAUUGCAGUUGUUUUGUGGCCGUUCGAUUGAUGGGGAAUCAUCCUAGCCAUCUAUUGGUCGUAGUACCAGAUACUACGUAGUACGUAGUAUUAAAGAUUAUUCAUACAAACUUACAAAGUACUAUAUAUUUGACAAUUUACAAUGGUAUCACGGGUACAGGUAUCCACAGCAUAGAGUACUCUAUAAUAUAAAUAGGAAUUAAUCAAUUGGUAAAUUAGGGGUUUCAAGCUGCAGGGUUUGCAUUUCAAGCAUCCGAGCCAUCGUAAUUAUUCAAGGUAAUUACUAAUUAAGAUUCUUAAUUAAAUUAAAUUUAAGGGUUUAUAUAGUAGUAUUAUUUGGUGAGAGGCAAGAGAUUAGAAUUACACAUGAAGCAGACAAAGGUUGAAUUAUAUAUAGGGUUUGUUAAGAGGUGGACAUCAAAGCUGAGGUAUAUUUGUCUCUUCCACUUGUAUUUAAAAAAUGGAAUUUACUUUGUUUUCUUCUUUUCAGUUUGUUCAUUUUUUGAACUGUUGCAAUGUUUGCAACUACUUAUUAAUCCUUGAAACUAUAAGAGCUGUCUUAUUAUCCUUUUUAUAUGUUACUUUCCUCCAUCGUCAUUUCUCACCUUGCAUUUUAUGACUAAAUAGCUAGUCAAAAUAUAAAUGCCAAAAGAUUCAUGGAGUCAAAUAAUAAAGUUCAACUCUAAUUGAAUUACAUAGUUAUAAUUGAUUUGAAUUAGGGUUAGAGUUUUAAUUAGUUAGCUAUGUUAGAAUUCCUCUGUCUCACAUCGGCCAUAGAGCUUGAGAACAAACCCUUUAAAUAGAAUUACCCCACUCUAACUAAUACCAAGGUCUUUUGUAUUAAAACCCCACACCUGACGGAUUGAGCAGGUGGCCAAGUGGGGACAGUAUCGGUGUUGUUGGAGUGGGCCCAUGGCCCGUCUACCUGAAAUUUAAGAUGGUAUCAGAGCCAGGAGACGAGUCUCGUCUACCUGAAAUUUAAGAUGGUAUCAGAGCCAGGAGACGAGUCUGUACUACCAUGUGAACGGGUGGGUCCCCUUUGACCCCGCGCAAAUGGGUGAGCCCUAACAUGGCUCCACAUAGGCCAAAAAAAAAAGCCACGUUCAUUGGCCCAGCGCGAACGGGUGAGCCCCGACUUGGCUCCAUGUGGUUGCAGAUGUGUGGAACUCCACGUGUGGCCCAUAAAAUAGGGUCUCACGUGCGGGGGAGUGUUAGAAUUCAUCUAUCCCACAUCGGCCACAGAGCUUGAGAACAAACCCUUUAAAUAGAAUUACCUCAGUCUAACUAAUACCGAGACCUUUUGUAUUAAAACCUCACACCUAACGGAUUGAGCAGGUGAUUAAGUGAGGACAAUAUCGGUGUUGUUGAAGUGGGCCUAUGGCCUGUUUACCUGAAAUUUAAGAAGCUAUUCCUUGUGCCAAAAAGAAAAGUGAAAUCUGUAUUCCUUCCUGUUGGUUAUAAGGGGUUCUUAUGUGGAAUACAUUUUCAUGGGCUUUAUCAGUACGGUUUCUAGCAUCCGUGAGUGAGUAUAAUUCUAAGAACUUGAAACUUAUAUAAAAUUCAGGCCGCUUUGCACACUACUAACACCACAAUAGUAAGAACUCCCCAUUAGUUUAUUGUAUAAGGAACAACAGUGCAUAGAAGUGCUUCAAUCUAUUCCGUCUUGAAGUUUGAUCAUCUAUAAAUUCAUCAUGUCAUCUUCUCCAGGUAUGCAAGGUUUACGUGUUUUGAUUUGAUGAAUUGAUAAAGUUUACAAAGAUUUGGACUUAAGUUGGUUAUUAAGAGUGUUUGACAAAUAAAUUACACAUGAGUCUUGCGUAGUCAGGGAACUUAUAUGAACAUGAAUUUGAAAAUUGUGAGUGUGAACAUGAAUUUGAAAAUUGUGAGUGUGCCGCUACUUGUUCCCGCUAAUAGAUUAUGAUGCAAAAUUAUGCUAUUUAACUUCUAACUAAAAUUAAGAGGCUCAACUUAAAUUCUUUCUUUGUCUUACUUAUUUAAGAACUCCUCUUACAUAGAUAUAUAACAAGGUGAAAAUUAUUGGAAUAUGAAUUGAUAUGAAUUUGGUUAUAUUCAAUAAUAUUCAAUUGCAAUAGAAAAGAGCUGCAAUUAAAUUGAUUAAAUAAGGGAUUUGACAUAAUGCGGCCACCGCCUAAAACAUCUUAUCCCCAUCGACCAACGCCCAAACAAAAGGAAGACUAUUCCUUUAUUGCCAAAGCAAGUCUAUUUGGUGGCAACCAUAAUAUACCAAGCCAUUUUUGUCUUUGGACUCAAAUAAGUGAAUCAAAUUUAGAGCACAUAUUUUGUACCUGAAGUUUCAAGUUCGAAUUUCUCCUUUUUAAUAUCUGUUGUAUCAAACGAAACAGUUUAUCAUCCAAAUCAUGCUUACAAAUCAAACCUCCCAUUAAGUACAAACUCUCCAAGCAUACAAUUCAAAAACAAAAAAUUUAGAAAAAAAAUGUUUGAUCUUAAUGAUGGCAAACAAGUGAGCCAAGAACAGGCUUUGGUCUUUUUAUUUUUUAUUAAUUCAACAACACAAACAACAACAACAACAACAACAACAACAACAAAGCUUUUUCCCACUAAGUGGGGUCGGCUAUAUGAAUCCUAGAACGCCAUUGCGCUCGGUUUUGUGUCAUGUCCUCCGUUAGAUCCAAGUACUCUAAAUCUUUUCUCUCAUCUUUCCUUCAAUUUCGGCUACUCCUACUUUACCUCGGAUAUCCUCAUUUCUAAUCUUAUCAUUUCUCGUGUGCCCACACAUCCAACGAAGCAUCCUCAUCUCCACUACACCUACGUGUUGAUGCUUCACCGCCCAACAUUCUGUGCCAUACAACAUUGCCGGCCUUAUUGCCGUCCUAUAAAAUUUUCCCUUGAGCUUUAGUGGCCUACGACGGUCACACAACACGCCGGAUGCACUCUUCCACUUCAUCCAUCCAGCUUGUAUUCUAUGGUUAAGAUCUCCAUCAAAUUCUCUGUUCUUUUGCAAGAUAGAUCCUAGGUAGCGAAAACGGUCGCUCUUUGGUAUUUCCUGAUCUCCGAUCCUCACCCCUAACUCAUUUUGGCCUCCGUUUGCACUGAACUUGCACUCCAUAUAUUCUGUCUCUGAUCGGCUUAGGCGAAGACCUUUAGAUUCCAACACUUCUCUCCAAAGGUUAAGCUUUGCAUUUACCCAUUUCAUCUAUCAACACUAUAUCAUUUGCGAAAAGCAUACACCAAGGAAUAUCAGCUUAAAUAUGUCAUGUUAACUCAUCCAUUACCAACGCAAAAAGGUAAGGACUUACGGAUUGUUGAUGCACAAAAGCAGUGAGGACUUUGGUACAACAGAAAGUAUUAAGUUUGUGAUCUUCGCUAGAUUGCUCCGGUCAUUAGUGUGGAUAAGUAUGUAAAUGGAUAGAGACAGGAAAGCAAACACAAGAUGUACGUGGUUCACCCAGAUUGGCUACGUCCACGGAAUAGAGGAGUUCUCAUUAAUUGUGAAGGGUUUACACAGUACAUAGGUUCAAGCUCUCCUUUAGUGAGUACAAGUGAAUGAUUUAGUACAAAUGACAUUAGGAAAUAUUGUGGGAGAAUGAUCUCAUAAUCACGAAACUUCUAAGUACUGAAGUGUGGUAUCAUCUUCACUUGCCUUAUCUGUCUCAUAGGUAGAUGUGGCAUCUUCUCUGGAAGUACUCUUCCUCCAUCCAGGGGUGGUAUCCUUAACUGGUGAAGAUGCACAAGGUAAUGUAUCAAUUUCACUUGAAGCUUACUUGUAGUUUUAGGCUUGGUCAAGCGCGAUACAAACCAUGUAGUAGGAGUCCCCCAAGUCGCCGAGCUAGGGGAUCUGCUGAAAGAGGUGAUAGACAAGGUAAGCAAUCAGAGCUCCCAAGCAAUCAGUCCCAGAUCAGAAGUUUGAUUUCGAGUUCCGGCUGAUUGUUCUCAUUCUCCCUAUCUUGCAAGCAGCAUGAAGGAUAAAGAGAAGAAAAGGAGAAGAGGUGAUAUGAGAUACUUUUGCUUUUGAAGAAGUAACUUUCCACAGGCUUAUUCUUGAACUGGGCUGGAGGGUUUUCUGGUUUCCUCCAGAGUAUAAGGCCGACUGAAGAAUUUGAGGGUCAAAACAAGUCCAUCAAAUCUAGAGUACGUUCGACCCUGCUGAUAUAGGAUACUUUUGCUGUUGACAAAGUAGUGGAUGUAUCGGCACGUGUUUUGUUGCUUGUCUCCACAUGCUUCCUUGUAUCCUUCUCACUUGCCCUAUCUGUUCCUCAGGCAGAUAUGGUAUCUUCUCUGGAAGCAUAAGAUGUUAAGAUGAGUACUUGAGAGCAAUGCCAGGUAAGUAAUCAGGUAAGGGGUUCCAGGCAGUCAGUUCCGGACUGGAAGCUUGAUUCCAAGUGCUGACUGAUUGCUCUCUUUCUCCUUGUCUUGCAGGUAAGAACAAGGCCAAAGGAAAAAACAGGGAAAAAGCAUGAUAUGGGAUACUCUUGCUUUUAACCCUGAUGAUAUGAGAUAUUCUUGCUCUGGUGUAGUUUGUUUGCAGAGGUAUUCUCGCGGGGGGGGGAAAGAAAGCUGAGUAUUUCGAGAGACUUUGUUGGGAGUGCCCUUUCAGAUAUGAGAAAGGGUUGAACAUUUUUGCAGGUCUGCCUGUCCAUUGAGGAUGAAGGUCGACAUAUAUAGGAGUCUCCCUAACAAUAAGUAACAAUGCUAUUUUUUUACCCUGCUUGGUCAUAGCACGGUAGUGGGAGCUGCCAGCUUUACGUGUUUUAACUCUGUCAGAGCACUUUGAAAAAGUAGUCUGUGGUAUCUGGAAAGCUGAUGUUGCGUGUGAAGAUUACAGACAAGCUUUAUCCAAGGAGAUCUGGCUCUUGAAGUUGAGAAAGCAGUGUGAAGAUUACAGACAAACUUUAUCCAAAGAGAUCUGGCUCUCUAAGUUGAGAAAGUAGUGCCUCUUCGAUUUUCGAACAAGCAACCUGUCGGGGAUCUGUCUCUCGAGAUUCGGAGAACGGUGCCUCUUCGAUUUUUGAGAAAGCAAUCCUGCUAGAAGUCUGGCUCUCGAGAUUCGGAGAGCGGUGUCUCUUCGAUUUUUGAGAAAGUAAUCAUGUUGGGAGUCUGGCUCUCGAGAUUCGGAAGGCGGUGCCUCUUCGAUCUUGAAGCAAGCAAUCUUGUUGGGAGUGUUUUCUCGAAUGUGAGUAAAGGUUGGGCCUGUUUGCUAGUCUACCUUGCCACGGAGCACAGAGAUUGACACACAUGGACUUUCCAAUUACCCAGCAGUGGUCCUGCUCCUUUACCCUUGUGGGUAAUAAUAUGGUAGCUAGACCUUCAAAAUUUAUGUGUCUAAACUUUGUUAGUGCUGUUUCUUUGCUAUUCUUUUACCCUUCUUGGUCAUAGCGAUGUAAUGAGAGCUGCAAGCUUCACGUGUCUAAACUUUGUCAGAGAUCUUUGGCAAAGUUAUCUGUGGUGAGCUGAUGUUGCGUGUGGAAAGUGGAUGAUUGAACAGUAACAUUCACGUGCUUUCUACUUCACCAGAAAUCUUCGACAGAAUGCCCGUAAUUUCUGCAAAGUUGAGUGUUCAUGUGACAGGUGUUGACAAGGCUGAAAAAGUAGGUGCCUCUUCGAUUUCUGAGAUCGGCCCUCGUGGUCUCUGAGCAGCCCAGCUUUUGAGAAAGCAAUCGUCUCUUCGAUUUCUAUGAUCGGCCUUCGUAGUCUUUGAGCAGUCCAGCUUUUGAGAAAGCAAACGCCUCUUUGAUUUCUGAGAUCGGCCCUCGUGGUUUUUGAGCAGCCCAGCUUUUGAGAAAGCAAACGCCUUUUUGAUUUCUGAGCAGGCGCCUCUUCGAUUUCUGAAGCUCCGUCGAGUGCAGAUUUUUAUAGAGGUUGACAUUAAGUUCCAAAGCACACUUGAAUCUCCACCAGUAGAAGCUCCAUUCUUGCAUUUCUAAGAUCUUGAUUUGUCCGACCUCUUCCCUCUUCAACACCUUUGAAAAUGUCUGGCCCCUCCGACCAUCGUUUUGACUUGAACCUUGUUGAAGAGGCAGCCACGCCUUCUCCAGACAACAUAUGGCGCCCAUCCUUCUUAUCCCCUACUGGUCCUCUUACCGUUGGGGAUUCCGUGAUGAAGAAUGAUAUGACCGCUGCAGUGGUGGCCAGGAACCUUCUCACUCCCAAUGAUAACAGACUACUUUACAAACGGUCUGAUGAGUUGGCUGUUAAGGAUUCUCUGGCUCUCAGUGUUCAGUGUGCAGGUUCUGUGUCUAAUAUGGCCCAACGCCUAUUUGCUCGAACCCGCCAAGUUGAAUCAUUGGCGGCUAAAGUGAUGAGUCUCAAACAGGAAAUUAGAGGGCUCAAGCAUGAGAAUAAACAGUUGCACCGGCUCGCACAUGACUAUGCUACAAACAUGAAGAGGAAGCUUGACCAGAUGAAGGAAUCUGAUGGUCAGAUUUUACAUGAUCAUCAAAGGUUUGUGGGUUUGUUCCAAAGGCAUUUAUUGCCUUCGUUUUCUGGGGCAGUACCGCGUAAUGAAGCUCCAAAUGAUCAACCUGAUGCCUCUUCCUUCUAGGGUUCUGUCCAGUACUGAGGCUCCGAAUGAUCCCCCUCCGGUGCCUUAUCUGUCUGGGGCUCUACCGACUGCUGAGACUUCUCCUAAGCAACCUUUAUGAAGGCUCCCUCUUGUUUGUUUAUUUUGACUCAUGUAUAUGUACAUAUUUGUAACUUAUUGGAGAUAUCAAUAAAUAAGUUUUGUUUCAUUUCAACGUAUUAUGUUAAAUACACCAAAGCCUUCUUCACUAAGUUCUUUGAAUUUUUCUUUUAUUGAAACUUGUAUGUUGAAGCUUUGUGAGUGGAGCAUGUUGGUUGAGGUAGUGUUCCCUUAAUUUCCCGAGUGAGGAAAACUUCUCGGUUGGAGACUUGAAAAAUCCAAGUCACUGAGUAGGGUCAGCUAUAUGAAUCUUAGAACGCCAUUGUGCUCGGUCCUGUGUCAUGUCCUCCGUUAGAUCCAAGUACUCUAAGUCUUUUCUUAGAGUCUAUUCCAAAGUUUUCCUAGGUCUUCCUCUACCCCUUCGGUCCUAAACCUCUGUCCCGUAGUCGCAUCUUCUAACCGGAGCGUCAGUAAGCCUUCUUUGCACAUGUCCAAACCACCGUAACCGAUUUUCUCUCAGCUUUCCUACAAUUUCGGCUACUUCUACUUUACCUCGGAUAUCCUCAUUCCUAAUCUUAUCAUUUCUCGUGUGCCCACACAUCCAACGAAGCAUCCUCAUCUCCGCUACACCCAUUUUGUGUACGUGUUGAUGCUUCACCGCCCAACAUUUUAUGCCAUACAGCAUCGCCGGCCUUAUUGCUGUCCUAUAAAAUUUUCCCUUGAGCUUCAGUGGCAUACGACGAUCACACAACACGCCGGAUGCACUCUUCCACUUCAUCCAUCCAGCUUGUAUCCUAUGGUUGAGAUCUCUAUCUAAUUCUCCGUUCUUUUGCAAGAUAGAUCCUAGGUAGCGAAAACGGUCGCUCUUUGGUAUUUCCUGAUCUCUGAUCCUCACCCCUAACUCAUUUUGGCCUCCAUUUGCACUGAACUUGCACUCCACUCCAUAUAUUCUGUCUUUGAUCGGCUUAGGCGAAGACCUUUAGAUUCCAACACUUCUCUCCAAAGGUUAAGCUUCGCAUUUACCCCUUCCUGAGUUUCAUCUAUCAACAUUAUAUCGUUUGCGAAAAGCAUACACCAAGGGGAAAGGGACACAGAUGUAGUUGGUUAAGCUUGACCACAUGACUAUGCUACAAACAUGGAGCUACUUUAUCAGUAUAUAUUUGAAAACAAGGGGAAAGGGACACAGAUGUAGUUGGUUAAGAUGCUUCUCGAUUAGCUAUGAAAUCUUUAUAUGUGCAUGGGGUGUUGGCUGGUCAAUUUCUCACCUGCCCAAGCAUGCAUAAGCUCAGGUUCUAAAGUAUAAUUUAUACCCUGGAGCUAGCCAAUUAAACUGUUUUUUAUGCUUUGACUAUAGACUAUAGUCUGUUUUUCCGUCCUAAAUCAAUAUUUUGUUAUAAAUAUGAUAUUUUGUUUCUUUCUCAAAACUGUUACGUAUGUGAUCAAUUCAAAAAGCACUACAAUUUAGCUUGUCAAAUGAAAAGUUCGAUGCGGUAGGUUUUAAGUUCGAGUUAUAUGUAUGAUGAGUUUGAUAUCUAAUUAUUAUAGCUGAUUUAUUGUGUGACUUGACCGAAUCCGUUAACCAUUAGGAUUUAUUGUUUAUAAAGAAAAAAAAAAGUUUUUUUGUUGGGCUACUAAGUCAACUUGCUAUAUCAUCAUGUUCAUGUGCCAUAUUUUGUUAUUGCCUAAUCACCUGUUCUUAUAACAGUCGUCUUGUUUAUCCAGGGAUGGACCCUGAAUUUCAAAGUUGUCCGAGCUAAAUUUACCUUACGUACAAUACAAGAGAUAAAGGAGAGGAAAGUACUUUGUCACGGCUACACGAAACUAAUGUAUUUGGGAUAGGAUCUUCACCCAUUGCUGGUAGAAAUGCUUUCUCGUCGAUUGUAUUUGGAACAAUUGAACUGGAGGUUUCUCUAUUUAGUUAAGUUACUUUCCAACCGUUUGCGUUUCAAAUCCUCUUCCUCCUCUUAGUAUACUUUAAAGCAAUGUCACUUGUAAUAAAGAACAAUACAAAACCCAGUUAGUCGAUAUUUAUUACAUGUUUACUUCAAGUAAAGAUACAUAAACCGUUGGAGCAAGGGAAUAAGCAAAAUAAAUCUGUUCAACUAGCCAACCUAGUUUAUACAAUUCUUAAUUUUCAGAUAUUAACUCAUAAGCUUUCAAGCAGGAGUUGUCCACACCUAGACGGAUUUCAUUUGUAUUAAAACAAUUUUUUUUUUUUUAAAUCAGAAUGAUUUGAAUUCUCAUAUACAUGUCAUUAACAUUAAAAUUUGAAACAUAAACCCAAUAUGACGCCUUUUAUGGUCUAAUUGUAAUAAGCCCACGAUGUAGUUCACCACAUGAUGUGCAUAAUCAAAAGAAGGCCCAAUGUUAGCAUACUUCUUACUUGCCCAAGCCCAAAACUAGAGGUGUGUUCGGUUUCAAGUUGUUCAGUUUUUGUCAAAACCGAAACUAAACCAAAAUUUCAGUUCGGUUUAAUAUUUUUAGGUUUUUGUUCGAUUCAGUUUAAUUUUGGUUUGGUUUGGUCUUUUCUUUGCUUUGAUUCGGUAUUCGGCUCGAUGUUUUUUCGGCUUUCGGUUCUUUAAGGUACUGUUUGGUACGUGGGAUGGGACAAAACAUGUUCGUCCCACGUUUGGUGCAUGAAUGAAUUUUAGUUCAAAUUUCAUUCCACCUCCACCCUAGAACGACUCCUUUCACCCUCGUAGAACACAAAAUUAUAAAGACAAAAAUACCCCUUAUCUUUUUCAAUAUUUACACCAUCCAAAUCAUAAAACAAACCCAAAAUCAUCUUCUUUCCAUAGAGUUGUGUGAAUUCUGACAGCAAAACAAGAUGUCGAAGGAAAUAACCAGGUGUGUCGAUGUCGAUGUCGAUCGCAGGAUUUUCAUAGAAGAAGUUUUUUGUUGUAGAUCUGUUAAAUAAAUAGCACCUUCUGCAUUUCGUUCCAAAAAAUAUCCAAUUUUCCCUUUACUGGUUCUCUCUGAUUUAAUUCCUGCACUUUUCAUUUGUGAAUUAAAGGUAACUUUUCUCACUUAGUUUUACGUUAUACCUCAUAUCCUUUGUUUGGUUGCUGAGAAAAGUCUGAAAAGUGAAAACCGUUUUAGUUUUGAUUGCAUUUUCUCAUUUUACAACUUAAUUGAAGGUAAUUUCUCACUUGUGGUAAAUCUGGGAAAUUAAAAUGAAAACUGGGAUAUAAAAAGAAUUUUAGUUGAAUGAUGUGUUGCAUGUGGUUUCUGGGCUCGGAUGAACAAAAACCCUUGUGUCAAACUUAGCUUAAACUUAAAGCGAGUUAUUAUUUCGAUUUACUAUAUUUUCCACCAACAAAAUGGUGUAGUAGUUGGAUUUACCUCUUUCUUUUCACCGUAUGAAAAUAUAUUAAUUUUGGGUAAAUUUAGUUUUUAUCGUCUCUCUAAUUUAUUUUAAACUUUACAUGUUGCAGGAGAUUAGUCAACUUUGUAUUUUAAAGAACUCUGCAAAGAUUACUGCUUAUUUUGCAAUGUAUUGUGGUUGAAAUGGCUGCAAUUUGAUUCUGUGACAAGGCUAUGUUGUGGCUGCUUUCGUAGUGGAGGCUGUCUUUUUUACCUGACUUGUGGUAGCUGAAAACCGUGCUUCUUGCCUGAAACGAUUUAAUGGAACAAAGUUUAGGUCAAGAGUCUGUUCCUGGUUUUGGGUUACUUGACAAGUCUAGGGUUUUAGAUGUAAGGCCUUUGAGGCGUCUUGUUCCGUUGUUCCCGUCAACUUCUAAUAAUACUUCAUUUUCAACUCCACAAGGUGCUGCUCCUUUCGUUUGUGUUUCUCCUGCUGGCCCUUUCCCAAACAAUAGUUACAAUAUGAAUUCAUACAUCCCUGUCAAAAUACGAAUUUCAACCAAGGAUGGAAGGUACCAAGUUUAGGACAACAAACCUCUUCACAUCAUUGAUCCGAGAAGCUUCAACCAUGUUGAAGCUAAUCAUGGUAUUGUUAUAAAAGAUGACGGAACGGUUGGACUGAAUGAAGCCCAUUCUGUUCAUAUCAGCUACGAGUUUGAACACAUGGUCAGUACUUCAAUUUGAGUAAAUUCAUCCAUGACCCAUGACCAUGAGUAAAAAUUAUGAUACAUUAUGCAUAGACAAUGGCAUAGCAUAUCUUCAAUCAUGUGCUAGUGUAAAAAAUAUAUCAUAGAUAAGCAAAUACGAACAAGUUAAAAAAAAAAAAAGGAGUUAUGUCCUGUUCCAUGCAUAUACAUUGUACCAAACAACAGACGGAAUAAGGGUAAGUUAAUCAUUUAAUUUUUUGGUUUUGUUCUGUCAUGUGUUUACCAAACGCAAAAUGAAACAACCGUCUCGUUCCGUCCUGUGCGUACCAAACAUAACACGGAACUUCCGUUCCAUUUCAUUCCGUCUCGUCCCGUUUGUGUACCAUACGGUAACUAAACCCACCCUACCCAAAACGAUGUGGUUCUGACUCGCGCGAAUGGCCCAAUGUUAGCGUACUUCCCAAUGCUCCCUCUUUUGUCUUCUUCCCCGCUUGGCUUCGCGCUGAUUCGUUUGAACCUGUAACCGACCACGGACGGCUUUUCCGAAACCUUAGUCCUUAAGUCUCGGAUGAGCCUGAAACAAAAAGCCGAACAAUCUUCUCGCAACCAAAAUAUCAUCCGACCGGAGAAAAGUUAAGCACAGCAGAAAUGGAUCUGAGAGAAAGCAUCAUCAACCAAAACAACUUCGCUCUGGGGCUGACGAAGCAGCUGCUUCAGACCGAAGGCAAGCAAUCGAACCUCGUGUACUCGCCGCUGUCCAUCCACGUGCUGUUGAGCCUGAUCGCGGCCGGGUCAAAGGGUCCGACUCAGGACCAGCUGCUGUCUUUUCUCCAGUCAAAGUCCACCGACCACCUCAGCUCCUUCGCCGCCGAGCUCGUCUCUGUGAUUUUCUCCGAUGGGUCCCCUAGCGGCGGCCCCCAGCUGUCGUUUGCAAAUGGUGGUUGGGUGGACAGGCGUCUCCCUCUGAAGCCAUCUUUCAAGCAGGUGGUGGAAACUUCUUACAUGGCCGCUCUCACCCAAGUCGAUUUUCAGACCAAUGUAAGCUCCCAAACCCUCUGUCCUGUCGUUUCGAUUUUUUUUUCGACGAUGCUCUUGAUCAAAGUCUUCUAUUUUUUCGAUGUGAUUAGAGAUGCUUGUUCCUUUGGGGUGCGUUUGGUACGCAGACGGAACGGGACGGAACGAAGGUGUAAUUUUUGAAAAAGGUAUAUUUGUCUUAAAAUGGUAAAACAUUGCGUUCCACAAACGUGGAACAAACCCGUUCUAGGGGGGAGGUGGAACGCAAAAACACUCAAAAUCUGUCCCGUGGAACAGCCCGUUCCACCCAUUUUUGGCGCACCAAACGAGGGACGGAACGACUCGUCCCGUUCCGUCCCGUCCCGUCCCACGUACCAAACGCACCCUUGUUGAACCUAAAUUGUAGGCCUGCUUCUCUAAUCAUUACUGUUUGUGUUAAAUUAUUAUUGCCAAGAACUAGAUUAAGUUGCAGUAAUCACAAUCAAGUAAAGCACAAAAACCUUUUCAUAUAAAAGCAUUGCAAUUCACUAACCUGAUGAACCGCCACCUGAAGACGCCAUGAAUGCUGCAAACCGAUCUCAGUGCACUGUAACUCUUCUCCUAUGAUGCACGGAUACUUCUAUUUGGUCCCGUAUCUCCCGUAUCCCGUAUCCGAUACUUGAUUGGAUACGAUACUUGCCCGAUACUCUUGGAUACUCGUCCGACAUGUAUCCUGGUCCUGCUUUUAAGAUACAUUUACACUUUCAAAAAAAAGUAAUGAGGAAGAGAAAAUUAAUAGGAGACAUCUAUAAUUGAAAGUUGCUAAAUACAAAGAGUUUCCCUCUAAUUAAAACCAUGAAUACGACUCUCACACUUCUUCUACUAUAUAAAGAGGAUUAGAUUUCGAACUUUCAUUCUCUAACAAUUCAAAUGUACUUGAAUUUGAAUGAUGAAUUAUGUUUUAAAAUGUAAAUUUUUGUUGCUAUAUACAUUUUUAUUUGCCGUAUCCAUAGCGUAUCGUAUCUUAAUUUUUGGAGAUUUUCCGUAUCGUCGUAUCGUAUCGCUGUAUCCGUAUCCGUAUCCAUGUUUCAUAGCUCUUCUCCUCUCUGUCAGAUUAUUUCAACCUCUAACCAAGAAUAGGGCUUAGUUCCGAAGAGAGCACUAAUCCGUGAGAGUAGAGGUCACAAUAUAUAUAUAUAUAUAUAUAUAUAUAUAUAUAGGAUUAAUGAACAAAUAUUUUUAGAAACAUUUUUACACUUCUUUAUUGCCUUUAGAUUUUAUAACAUGCAAGGAUUCUUAUUAAUUCAUUAAAUGCUAUGAAUGCUUACGUGAAAUUUAACUAAUAUUAAAGCUAAAAAUAAUUUUUUUUUUUUUAAAAUUCGUAGCUGUAAUCAUGAAAAUGGGGAAUGUGGUCUACAACCUCAUUCUCCCCAACUCUACAACUUCCACACUCGAAUAUUCUUAGGUAAGCAAAACAAAACCCUAAAAUUUAUAUUAUUGUUCAUAUAAGUAGGGUGAUUAAAUUAUAUUUUGGAAUUUUUUUUUAGUUUUGUCAAGUCAUGUAUUUGACGGGUUCUUUUCAAAUCUAACAAACAACCAUCUCAAUAUGCAGUCCAUGUGUUUCGAUUGAAAAUUUGUUGAAACAUGGAAAUGAAACGAGGCAAGAAAAUCAAUAUCUAAGUUACAAUCUGGAACCAAAAGCAUACAUUCUCAUAUGUACUGACAUCAAAAUGCAGGAACGUUACAUAAGCCACCCUUUUGAGUUCAAUCGAGAUUCGAAACAUAUGACAGCGUAUUGAGAUAGUUGUUUGUUUGAUUUGAAAAACUAAAGGAGUAGAAAAAUCUUCAAAUACAUGAACAGACAACUAUAUUUUGUUUCCAAAUCCGAAUUUAAUCAUCAUACAUAUGCGAACAAUAAUAUCAAAUUUAGGUUUUUGUUUUGCUUGCCUAAUGAGAUUCAAGCAUGGAAGUUGCAGACCUGGGGGAGAUAGGAGUUUGCAGGCGUGGAGGUUGCAGAGACCUCUUUUAGGGUUUCUUCCUUUUUAAUUUUUUUUUAAAUUUUUUUUUCUUCCAAAUUUUAUGUUUUUUUUUAUCUUUAAUAUUAGUUAAAAUCUACAUAAGCAGUCAUGGUGUUUAAUGAAUGAAUAAGAACCAUUGGAUGUUAUAAAAUCUAAAGGCUACAAAGAAGUGUAAAAAUGUUUGUAAAAAUAUUUGUCCCUUAAUCCUAUCCCUAUAUAUAUAGGCACAUAAAUUUCAUAACUCAAUAAGGAUUCCCUUUAAAAUCCUUUUAGAAAACAACUUAUGUUUCCCAAUUCAAAUCAGUUUAAUGUCAAAACAGAAUCCUUCGUAAACAAGAAUUAGUAUACAACCUCUCAUAAGGUUUUCUUAUACCAAUUGGACUUAAUGCUGUCAAAACAUCCAAUCUCAUGUUCAUACUCUUACUGUUUGUGCUUGUUCUUCUGCAUAGCUUAGCUGGCUAUUACAGAAUCAUAUCGUAAUUCGUAGAUUUUUGUUAUAGUACGGUCAUCACUACGUUAAUAGUAUUGAAGUAACAUGCAGGCUGAUAUAUUAUUGUUUUCUAACUUGUCGUAACUGUUGUUGGUGCUCAAGGCUGCUCAAGUGGCCUCGGGAGUGAAUUCAUGGGCUGAAAAGGAGACGAGAGGCCUUAUCAAGGAGGUACUUCCUCCUGGGUCAGUUGACUGCUCAACCACGCUCAUCUUUGCAAAUGCGUUAUACUUCAAAGGAGCUUGGACUGAAAAGUUUGAUGCAUCACAAACGAAAGAGCAUGAUUUCCACCUUCUCGAUGGGAGCGCAGUUAAGGUGCCCUUCAUGACCAACAGGAAGAAGCAGUGUGUAAGAUCCUUCAAUGGUUUCUCAGUCUUAGGGCUUCAUUACAAGCAAGGUGAAGACAAGCGAUGUUUCUCCAUGCACAUCUUUCUUCCAGAGGCGAAAGAUGGGCUGCCAGCUUUGGUUGAGAAACUUGGUUCUGAGUCCGGGUUUUUGGAUCGCCAUCUUCCCAAGCAAAAAAUUGCCGUGGGUAAUUUCAGGAUUCCAAAGUUUAAGAUUUCAUUUGGGUUUGAAGCUUCGAAUGUCCUUAAAGGUCUGGGCUUGGUGCUGCCAUUCGGUGGUGGAGGAGGUUUGACAGAGAUGGUGGACUCGCCUGAGGGUAAGAACUUAUACGUGUCCAGCAUUUUCCAUAAGUCGUUCAUCGAAGUGAACGAAGAAGGCACGGAAGCCGCAGCUGCUUCCGCCUUUCGUAAAACUAUGCUGUGUCUGCCGAGGGCGGUUGACUUUGUGGCUGAUCGUCCAUUCCUCUUCUUGGUCAAGGAAGAAUUGACCGGAGCCGUGCUGUUCAUCGGCCAUGUACUCAAUCCUCUUGCAGGCUGAGUGUUGUUAUACCCUGUGAAAUACAAAUGUAUACGAAGAACCACACGAGAAUAUAUAUAUAUAUAUAUAUAUAUAUAUAUAUAUAUAUAUAUAUAUAUAUAGGAAUUGCUUAAGGGGAGGGAUCCCCAUUUUUUCAAAAAAAUGGGGACACGCUCCCCACCGUUGGAUUUGAAUUAAAUGAAAUCCUGUGGUUGAGAUUCUAUGGCCUGUGUUUUAAUCUCAACCACACAAUUUCAUUAAAGUCAAUCUAACGGUGGGGAGCGUGUCCCCAUUUUUUUUAAAAAAAUGGGGAUCCCUCCCCUUAAGCUCCCUGUAUAUAUAUAUAUAAUGUACAAAAAUGCUAAUCUUGUCAUCUAUUUGUAACAUCUCUCUAAUAAAGAUGGAUCCACAUGCACUGGCGGGCCUUACAUCUACUAGAUAGAUGGUACAAAUAGGUGUUAAGUAUAGCAAUCAUGUAUUCAUAAACAAAAAUGCUAUUCUUACUAUUUAGUUUGAUCAUCUUUCAAUAGAGAUGAGACCUAUAUGUGUUGGCUGAUCUUAUCCUUAUUAAAAAAAUAAUACAAAUGAUGGUAACUAGAUGAUAAGUAUAGCAUUACUCUAAAAUAAAUGUAUGAUAUCAUGUUCAUGUGGUCUUGUUUCUCUCAUGUGGCUUUUGUUAUGCGUUCUGCCUUGGCUACACGAAACCGUUGGAAAUGCUUUGGGAUAGGCGUUUUACCCAUUAUUGUUGGAAAUGCUUUUUUCUUCGGUUGUACUGGAAUGGUUUGGACUAGACGUGUUUUUUUAAUUUAGUGGUUGAUUGUCUCAGUGAAUAGUCAUUCCUCAUUCAUUUGUGUUUUGGGUUCAAGUUCUCUUCUUCUCCUAGUCUAGUUAAAGUAAUGUCGCUUGUAAUAAAAAAUAAUUUAUAAACCCAAUUGAUUGAUAUUUAUUACACGUUUACUUAACAUGAGGUGGACAAGGCAAGAAACAAAUGUUAGAGAGAUUAUGUUUUUAGAUUUUAUUUCGUAGACCAUUUGGUGUGGUAGUUGAUUAUUAGUUUCUUUAUUUUUAAAUCAUUAAAGAAGAAAUUCAACCAUCAAUCGCCACACUAAGUGAUCUACAAAAUAUAGUUUAAGUAAAUGAUCCCCCUAUCAUCUCCAAAUUUUAUUUAUAUCAUUAAACACAUAAAAAAUAAAGGGUUACAUAGUAAGUAUGUCAUUAAGGUCAAAAACUUUGAAACAUAAAUACAAUUAGACACCUCUUAAGAUUCAAUUGUAAUAAGACCACUUAAAAAUAAGGUCCAGUUAGACCCGACAAUUUCGUACAUGAUUCAUUGACGCGACACUGAACGAUACUAAAAUAACAAGUUUCAUAUUAAGGUCAAAAACUUUGAAACGUAAAUACAAUUAGACACCUCUUAAGGUUCAAUUGUAAUAAGACCACUUAAAAAUAAGGUCCAAUUAGACCCGACAAUUUCGUACAUGAUUCAUUAACGCGACACUGAACGAUACUAAAAUAACAAGUUUCAUAUUAACACGUUAUUUAAUCGGAUAUAACAAGCCACUCGUUAAUAAUGAGUUAUUAACAGAUUUAUCCGUAAAUAAAUUGUUUCAACCUAUUAUUAUAUAAAGUUAGUGUUAAUGCAGGGUCCUUUUUGACCCCUAGAACAAUGCAGGCCCAAUAAAGAAGAAAAGUUCAAGUCUUAGUGCUAGGCAAAUUGUGGCAUAUUAAGCUAGGCUGGUGUGCUAGGCAAAAGGGACUAGGAUUCUCUCCUUUCAUUUUUCCAUCUCCUCUUCUUACAUUCUUUAUUUUGUUUUUCUCUUUCUAUAAAAAAUUAAUAUAAGAUAUUAACGUGACUUAACCGUGACCGUUCAAAUAUGAGGAGAAGGAAGAUGAGGGAAAAAAGAGGGGAGAGAAUCCUACUCCAGACAAAAGUGCUAGGCAUACAAUAUAAAUAGAACUUUAGGGUUUUAUUCUUUGUACGAGAUACAUAAGAAUUACAAGGGAAACACUUUCAGAAAUUGUAGGGGUGUGAGAUACUAGAAAAUAGGAUUUGCAAAAGCAGAUGGGGUUUUCUUGUAAAGUGGCCAAGUCAAACAUAAGUUCAAGCUUGUUUCCAACAUCCAAAUUCUUGAAAUCCAACAGUACAGCACGUGCAGGACCACCCAACGUAUCAUUGUAUUUUAUAUACAGGAUAAACAGAGCUGAAAUUUAAGCAGCAAUUUGAUUUUGAUUUGAGCACAUGCAACCACAUCUGCACGCGUUUGUCUUGCUAGAGCUUUUUCCUUGCAUACGCUUUGAUUUGUUUUUCCUUUUAUUCAAGUACUCUUUGAUUUUAUGUAAGGGAGUUUUAAUGGAAAACGUUUCACACAACAAAAUUUUCAAUGAAAAACACAUUAAUGAUUUUUUAAUAAAUUUUUUGAAUUGUCGGUUUUAUGAAGAAACAAUUGUUUGUUUUAAUUUUAACUUAAUUGUAAUAUUGUCACUGCGCCUAAAUUUUAACUUAUUUACAAUACUAUCACCGUCUUUUGCCCUUGUAAUCAAACAAAAUUCAUUAAGUGUUUUUGGAUAGAUAAAAAAAAAUUGAGAUCAUUUUCAUUAGCUUUUCUUUAUGUAGAUGAUAUUAAAGGAAAAGAGACAAUGGAAAAGGAAAAGAGUUGUUCGGACUUUAUGCAUCUUUGUCUGUAACUCCUUACACUAUAAAUAAGAAUUAGGACCAAAGUCGUCCUUCUGAAAAUUGAUGCUUAAGACAAGAAUGAAUGAGGCUUUCCUACCGUAAUACUUUAAUAUAAUUCCAUUUAGCAAACAAGUGAAAUUGGAAACUUUUUGACCCAAUUUACAUAUCAUCUCCACGUCAAUACAAAUUUGAGAGUAUAGGUUUUUUUUUUUUUGGGUUACUGAUAUAUUCAACUCCAAAUGUCUUCACAUUAUGUAGUCUCAUAGUACCAUACCAAACCCCGUACAUUUUUACAUGUCCUCUCCUAGUAUUUGACCCGGUUUGAAAUAGUAUUUUAUUCUUUUAAUAUUAACACACAUGUGAAAUUAAAAUUGAAGAUCUCUGCCAAAACUGAAAGGAUAAGUGUUACGACCAAUUCCAAUCCUUGAACCCAAAUUCAAAAAUUUGGGUCCACUAGAAGACAAAAUUUAGCUAUGUAAACAGACCCUCCAGACCUAAGUUUCAGAACUUAAAAUGUAUUAAUUAUUUUAGAGAAACUUUGAGUUAUGUUAUCUUAAUUUAGUUUUAUGAAUGUUUUAACCUAAAAAAAUUUAAAUUCCUACAAAAUUUCCAAAACGGAACAAACUACACCAACCAACCACUAACCCACCAAACUUCAAUGUAUACAUCAACCAACCAAACUUCAAUAUACAAUACCAAAUAUGCAUAUUAUUUUGAUCGUUGAAUUUAAAUUUCAGCGUUGGAUCGUUUUUACCAUUGGAUUUGACAAAAACAAAUAUGGAUUGUUCAAUCAAUUUCAAAGGAUUGCCCAAAAUAGAGAGUUUGAUCUGGACCAUUGAUAACCAAUGGUCCAAAAAUCAAAAGGCCACAGUUUUUAUUGGACAGCUGAGUUCCUUGCCAUGUGGGGGCUAGUUGUCGGCUACUAACUCUUAGAUCAGCCAAAUUUAAACCCAAAUUUUGAUUUUGAUUUGGAUCCAAACCCAAAUAUUUUAGGUAUGAGUCUCAGCUUUAGGUGGCAAAUUUUUGUGUUCAAACCCAAAUAUUUGAGUUUGGGUCUAAGGGCUGGAGUUGGUCUAAUAGAUCAAAAGCUAAUUCUUGGAAAAAUAGAUUUGUGAGACUAUAAUUUACACCUCUCUAGAACAUAAUAUGUUCACAUAUUAGCCCUAAACAAUGACAUCAAAGGAGAGGAAAAAUGAGAAGGAAAAGGAGAAAGUAAAUGUAGAAAAGGAAGGGGUGAGAAUGAGAGAAAAUUCCGGAGAAUAGAGAAAAGAAGGGAAAAGAAGACAAGAAAUUUUGGAGAAAAGAGAAAAAGAAGAAGGGAAAAGAAGAAAAGAAAAGGAGAAGGGAAAGUGAGAGGCAAGCUUCGAAGAGCAGAGAAAAAGAGGGAAAAAGAAAAGGAAAGGAAAGUCACCUCCAUCGUUAUGUCUACUAAUUGUUACCCAUUUUCUUACAAAUGGGAGUGCGAGACUGAAAAAGAAGAAAGAAAAAAAAAAAAACAUGGCCAGACAUCCAGAAAAUAUACAAAUACGCCAAAGAACAAAUUGCUCCCAAUUUCCCUUGUUUCUUGUUGUAAAUAAUGGGUAUGUUUGCCCACAUGUGUAUAGUAAUGUGUAUAGUAAAGUAUCACAUGUGUAUACUAUAUACUCAUAAGCUAAAUAGUAAUGUUUUGUAAUUUUCCAUUGAAGUAGCUCUAUAAAUAGAGCACUUCAAUUGUGCAAAGAUGAGUGAAUGAGAAGAAGAAAGAAAAGAGAAAUAUAUCUAAUAGCAAUAAUAUACAUUACUUCCUCUGCAACAGCUUGUGUCGGUAUAUUACUCUGCAACUGCUUCGUUCCUUCACCGAGUAAAGGUUAUCUCUCUAUAAAUUUUGCCUAUUUAUAACACGUUAUCAGCACGACUCUCUAAUCAUUUCUCAUUUCCUUUCACCGAAUGAAAAAAAAAAAAAGUUUCCUCUAAGGUUUUUACUGUUCUUCUUCUUCCUCUCCCUCAAUUGCUGGGUAUACCCUCGCGAAGAACUAUUUGCACCAUGUUUACUUCUAGUUCUCCAACUAACAUUCACUUAUAUUCUUGAUUUCUUGUUUGGUGUAGAUAUUGACUACUAACCCACUGAUUAUUUAUGCAAUCCAAGAUUGUGCGGUUCUAUCGCCUAUCUUGGACUGCAGAUCUAAUUUUACUGCAAAUUUUAAGUGGAGCGGUAUAAUCGCCCGCUCUAUCCUGCAUAUUUAAAUUUGCCCGUUAUUUAAUUUUAUCGCAAUUUUAGGUGGUGUGAAAUAAUCACCCACCCUGCUUUACAUAUUUAAUUUUAUCGCAAUUUUAGGUGGUGUGAAAUAAUCACCCACCCUGCUUUACAUAUUUAAAUUUUAUCGCAAUUUUAAGUGGUGCGGUAUAAUCGUCUACCCUGCUUUGCAUAUUUAAUUUUAUCGCAAUUUUAGGUGGUGCGGUAUAAUCGUCCACCAUGCUUUGCAUAUUUAAAUUUUAUCGCAAUUUUAGGUGGUGCGGUAUAAUCGUCCACCUUGCUCUACAUAUUUAAAUUUUCCUGCUGUUUAAAGUAGUGCGGAAUAAUCGUUCAUCCUAUACUUAUUUCGAUGAGAAUGGUGCGGUACAAUUGCCCUUCUCAUUAAUUGUGUAAAUCUCGAGCCUGAAGUUUCGAGUACUUAUCAUUUUGGCCUGAAGAUCAAAAAUUUGUAAGAACCAGAAGUUCUAACAAUAUAUUUCUCCAGUACACAUAUUACUGCAAGUUCUUACACACCUCAUUUUUCUUUCAGAAAAGAAAAUGGCAAACUUGGCAAAACUUGAUUUUGCUGCCCUGGACAUUACUGGAAAGAAUUACCUUACAUGGGUACUGGAUACCAAGAUCCAUCUGGAAGCAGCAAAUCUUGGAGAUACCAUCAAGGAAGAAAGCAGCUCAUCCUCUCAAGAUCGGGCAAAGGCCAUGAUUUUUAUUCGUCGCCAUCUUGAUGAGGCACUAAAGAGCGAGUACUUAACGGUUGAAGAUCCGUUAGCCCUUUGGAAUGCCUUGAAAAGCAGAUACAAUCACCAGACAACGGUGAUUCUUCCAAAAGCUCGCUAUGACUGGACUCACCUAAGGAUCCAGGAUUUCAAAUCAGUGGCUGAGUACAAUUCGGCGUUGUUCAGAAUUACCUCUCAGAUGAAACUCUGUGGGGAUACUAUCACUGAGGAGAUGUUAUUGGAAAAGACUUUCAGCACAUUCCACGCCUCUAACAUGGUAUUGCAACAGCAGUAUAGAGCGCGAGGCUUCACUGAAUACAACCAGCUGAUAUAUGUGCUCCUGGUAGCUGAACAGAACAAUGAGCUUCUCAUGAAAAACCAUAAUUCCCGACCUACUGGAUCAACACCGUUCCCAGAAGUGAAUGUUGCUUCCCUUGAAAGGAAUAUCAUAUCCUCCCGUGGCAAUAAUUACAAACGAGGACGUGGCCACAAGCAAGGUCGGUGGAAAGGGAAAAGCAAGAACCAUGGUGUCCAGUUUCACAACCAGGUUCCAAGGUAUAAUCCAGGCUCGAGCUUUAAAAAUACCAAUCGCCAGAAAGGAAAAGCUCAUGUGAACACUCCUAGAAGUCAUGAAGGAGGUUGCCAUAGGUGUGGUGGCAACGGACAUUUGGCGCGUACUUGUCGCACCCCAAAGCAUCUGGUGGAACUAUAUCAAGCCUCCUUCAAGGAGAAGGGUGUCGAGAUCAAUUUCCUUGACCAGGCUAAACCAAUGGAAACCCCUGAUCCAGUGACCAAUUUAUCAUGACAGUUAAACACAACCCACCUGGAUGCUACAGACUUUAUUAAUGAAAGAGGGAAUGAAGUUUAUGGGUCCGAUUGAAUUAUUUAUGUUUAAUGUACUCAUGUUAUUUGUACCUGUGGUUUAAUGCUCGCAUUUUCAAUUCAAUAAAAGUAGUAUUCCAGUAUGAAUAAACUGCUUUUUCUUUACUCAGAGAUCAUGGAUAAAAAUUAUGGUUAUUCUCAAAACAAGAUCAAUGGCGGAGACUUUUGUCUUGCAGAUAGCGCAACCACGCAUUCAAUACUUCGAGAUUGAAAGUAUUUCUCGAAUUUGGUACUUGCAAAGUAAAGGUAACAACAAUAUCAUGACCAUCAGAUGUAAUUGAAGGCUCAGGAAAAGCCCAGAUUAUGUUACCAAAUGGAACAAUAUUGUCUAUAAAGAAUGCAUUAUAUGCUACUCGGUCCAUUCGAAAUUUGUUGAGUUUUAAAAGCAUACGUCUAAAUGGAUACCACCUUGAAACGAAAAGUGUAGAAAAUGUGGAAUAUUUAUGCAUUACCUCCAAUGAUACCCAGAAGCGUAUAUUGGAGAAGUUGCAUGGUUUAUCGAGUGGAUUGUAUUGUACAUACAUAAAGACAGUUGAGGCAUAUACUGUCAUGAACCAGAAGUUCAUUGAUUCAAAGGUUUACAUGUUUUGGCAUGACCGUCUAGGUCAUCCAGGAUCUACCAUGAUGCGUAGAAUCAUUACCAACUCUAAUGGACAUCCAUUACUGAGCAGACACAUUAAUGUCUCGAAUGAUAAUCCUUGCAAGGCUUGUUCCCAAGGGAAGUUGGUAAUUAGACCAUCACAACUAAAGGUUGAUGAUGAAUCCCCAUCAUUUUUGCAAAGAAUUCAAGGGGAUAUUUGUGGACCUAUUCAACCACCUUGUGGACCAUUUCGAUAUUUUAUGGUUUUGAUUGAUGCAUCUACCCGAUGGUCACAUGUUUGCCUAUUGUCUACUUGAAAUGUAGCUUUUUGCGAGACUUCUUGCUCAGAUAAUUAAGUUGCGAGCACAGUUCCCAGAUCAUCCCAUUAAGUCCAUUCGACUUGAUAACGCUGGUGAAUUUACGUCUCAAACCUUUGAUGAUUACUGUAUGGCACUGGGCAUUAAUGUUGAACACCCUGUUCCUCAUGUCCAUACUCAAAAUGGUUUAGCAGAGGCAUUUAUCAAGCGGCUUCAAUUAAUAGCCCGCACUCUGCUCAUGAAAACGAAAUUUGCCAGUUUCUACAUGGGGACAUGCCAUAAUUACAUGCUGCAUCAUUGGUUAGAUUGAGACCCAUAGCCAACCACCAAUACUCAUCAAUACAACUCGUGUUUGGACAUCAGCCAAAUAUUUCACAUUUACGAGUUUUUGGUUGUGCUGCUUAUGUGCCUAUUGCACCACCACAACGAACUAAAAUGGGACCUCAACGCAGAUUGGGAAUUUAUGUGGGUUUUGAUUCACCAUCUAUCAUUAGAUAUUUGGAACCUUUGACUGGUGAUGUGUUUACAGCUCGUUUUGCUGAUUGUCAUUUUGAUGAGACAGUUUUCCCGUCGUUAGGGGGAGAAAAGACUGUUCCAGAAGAACGACAAGAGCUAACAUGGGUUGUUCCCACCUUAUCUCAUUUUGAUCCAAGAAGCACUCAAUGUGAAAACGAAGUGAAAAGAAUCGUUCAUCUUCAAGGUAUUGCUAAUCAAAUGGCAGAUGCAUUUAAUGAUGCUUCGAAAGUGACACAGUCAUAUAUACCGGCUGCAAACGCACCUGCAAGAAUUGAUGUCCCUGUUGGACAAAAUAAAGUGGCAGCGAAUGAUUCAUCCAGUGCACGCCUGAAGCGUGGUAGACCCCCAGGUUCAAAAGAUUCAGCCCCUCGAAAGAGAAAGAUGAUGGCCCAAUUGAACCCAAAUGAUAUCAUUCAAGAAAAGGAAUUGAAUGAUAAAUCCACAAUUCGUGACUCUGUACUUCCAGAAAAAGAAAAUGUCCUUGAUGAGACACAUGUCCCUGAAGAGACAGAAGUACAUGAAAGCAAAGAAAUAUCCAUAAAUUAUGCAUGUACUAAUGAAUUGUGGGAUCGAAAUGAAAUAAUCAUCAUCGAUGACAUGUUUGCAUUUGCAAUAGCCACUGAAAUUAUAUUAAGUGAUGAUAUUGAGCCCCGCUCUGUUGAUGAAUGCAAACAGAGACAAGAUUGGCCUAAGUGGAAAGAUGCAAUCCAGGCAGAAUUUAAAAUCCUUGGAAAGAACGAAGUGUUUUUGGACCAGUAGUCCAAACCCCGCCUGGUGUGAACCCCGUAGGUUAUAAAAUGGGUAUUCACAAGGAAACGCAACGAGAAAAACGAGAUUGCAAAGAUAUAAAGCACGACUCGUUGCACAAGGUUUUUCACAAAGACCUGGAGUUGAUUAUGAAGAGACAUACUCUCCCUGUAAUGGACACAAUUACGUUCCGUUACUUAAUAAGUUUUGGUGAUUUCAGAAAAACUUGACAUGCGACUUAUGAAUGUCAUCACCCGCGUAUCUAUAUGGAGAAUUAGAUACUGACAUAUAUAUGAAAGUCCCAGAAGGACUUAAGUUGCCUGAAGCAACUAACAAACCACGGGGUAUGUUCUUAAUCAAAAUUAAGGCGAUCACUAUAUGGGCUGAAACAAUCUGGGCGAAUGUGGUAUAAUCGUCUCAGUGAGUAUUUGAUUAAAGAAGGAUAUGCCAACAAUGUCAUUUGCCCUUGUGUGUUCAUUAAGAAAUCAAAUACUGGAUUUGCUAUAGUGGCAGUAUAUGUCGAUGAUAUGAACCUAGUUGGAACCCCUGAAGAGCUCAACAAAACUGCUGAAUAUCUGAAAAGCGAAUUUGAAAUGAAAGACCUUGGGAAAACCAAAUAUUGUCUAGGCCUGCAGAUCGAGCAUUGUGUUAGUGGAAUUUUGGUCCAUCAAUCAGCUUACAUUGAAAAAAUACUGAAGCGAUUUGGCAUGGACAAGGCUUAUCCACUUAGCACCCCAAUGGUCGUUCGUUCAUUGGACAUUAAGAAAAAUCCAUUUCAUCCAAAAGAAGAUGAUGAACUGGUCCUUGGUCCAGAAGUACCAUAUUUGAGCGCAAUAGGUGCUUUAUUGUAUUUAGCACAAUGUACUAGACCAGAUAUAGCUUUUUCAGUUAACUUGUUAGCCAGGUACAGCUCUGCUCCAACAAUUCGUCAUUGGAAGGGAAUCAAAGAUGUUCUACGAUACCUUCGUGGGACAACAGAUAUGGGUCUCUUCUACUCAGACAAGCCCACAAAUGAACAAAUCCUUGUUGGAUACGCAGAUGCUGGUUUUCUCUCCGAUCCGCAUAAAGCCCGCUCACAAAAUGGAUAUGUGUUCACUAAUGGAGAUACUGCAAUUUCAUGGCGAUCAACAAAGCAAACGCUAGUUGCAACAUCUUCCAAUCAUUCGGAAAUAAUUGCUUUACAUGAAGCAAGUCGUGAAUGUUCUUGGUUAAGAUCAAUGAUCCAUCACAUCCGGAAUUCAUGUGGUCUACCUUCAAAGACAGACACUCCAACUGUCAUCCAUGAAGAUAAUGCAGCCUGUGUCGCCCAGAUGAAGGAAGGAUUUAUCAAAGGUGAUAAGACUAAACACAUAUCUCCAAGAUUUUUCAGUGCACAUGAGCUUCAGAAGGCUAAAGUUAUUGAAGUCAGACAAAUCCGUUCCAAUGAAAAUUUAGUAGACUUGUUCACCAAAUCUCUACCAAAGUGCACAUUUCAAAAGUUGGUACAGGGAAUCGGAUUACGACGGCUUACAGAUUUGAAGAAUGCGGAAUCAGGGGGAGAUACAAUUCAGGGGGAGCAUCCAUGAUACAUGCAUGUUGUACUCUUUUUCCUUCGCUUAGGAUUUUUCCCAUUGGGUUUUUCCUAUCAAGGUUUUAACGAGGCAACCUAAGCAUGCUCAACACCAUCCGGGUAAAGUUGUACUCUUUUUCCUUCGCUAUGGUUUUUUCCCACAGGGUUUUUCCAAGCAAGGUUUUCCAAGCAAGGUUUUAAUGAGGCAACUGAUGUUGAUAUGUGGGCAUCCAAGGGGGAGUGUUGUAAAUAAUGGGUAUGUUUGCCCACAUGUGUAUAGUAAUGUGUAUAGUAAAGUAUCACAUGUGUAUACUAUAUACUCAUAAGCUAAAUAGUAAUGUUUUGUAAUUUUUCAUUGAAGUAGCUCUAUAAAUAGAGCACUUCAAUUGUGCAAAGAUGAGUGAAUGAGAAGAAGAAAGAAAAGAGAAAUAUAUCUAAUAGCAAUAAUAUACAUUACUUCCUCUGCAACAGCUUGUGUCGGUAUAUUACUCUGCAACUGCUUCGUUCCUUCACCGAGUAAAGGUUAUCUCUCUAUAAAUUUUGCCUAUUUAUAACAUUUCUUACAUUGUAAAUUAUAUUUCGUGUAACGAGAAAUCAGUAUUGCUACUUCGGGGAUGUUGGCACAACUUGUCGAACCUUGUAAAUAUUGUGUCUUAUAUACAUUUUUCGCCACUUUAUAUAUUUCGUAUAUAUGUGCAACAUAUGUUCCAACAAGAUUCUUAAGGUGUAGCUCAAACAUUAACAGAAGAAAAAUGUUUACAAAAUCUACUAUGCGCAACAUGAUUUGGUUGACGACAACAUGUCUAUGAAGUGUUCGACGAAAUGCCUUAGUGAACAAAUUGAAAAUUUUUUUUGCACGUCUCGCUCUCUGUUUCUAUCUAAAAACUUGGACCUAACACUGGGACCCUAAGAUUUGAAUUCUAAACCAACCACUGCCACAAGUGUUCUCUUUUGGUCCAACCUAUAACUAUAGAAAAAGCAUAUAACUGCACAACAAUUCGAUCAACCACCUCAAGUUCAACCAUACAUGUACCCAUAUUUAGGUUAUUCCGAACUUACCUUAUGAAAGUAACUAAACAUUACUGCCACAUUAUUAUGAAAUUCUAUCAAGUUUGAAUUUUUGUCUCAUAACUAUAUCAUCUAUAAGACAAUUGGUAACACUAGUUGGUGGAUUGACGAUUGGUAGAAAUGGCUUCAACAUUUGAAGGACGAGAAAUGAGUAUGGAGCACCGAUCAAAACGUGCUGUAUUUUAUCACUAAAAAUCUAAGUGCAAUUAGAAAUGCAUUUUAUCAAAAAAAGGUAAGCAAUUAUUGAUAUAAAUUGUAAUUUAUAAGAUCACAUAUAAAACAUGCUCCUUCCUUUUUCUUUUCAUCUCUGCCACUAGUGGCCAACCAAGACAUAAAGAAAUGCUUUUUGGGUCAAUGCAUGUGAACGACCCAUUUUAUAAUUAUUGGUAAUUUUCAUGGGAGUAGAUAGGAAUGACCCAAUUAAAUAUUUCCCCUGCACACCAACACUUGCAAUGCAGCUAGCAAAGAGUUGUUUGAACACCGAUCCACAUCAAUGGCUCUUGUGAGAACAUCUCCAGGGACCUCCUCUGAUUCCAACACUUUUCGGGGUUACCGAUACGACGUGUUCUUGAGCUUCAGAGGCGAAGACACUCGUAAGACUUUUACCGACCACCUCUACACAGCCUUGAACAACGCAGGAUUUCUCACGUUCCGGGACAACGAUGAACUUGAGAGAGGAGAAGAUAUAAAGCCAGGACUGCAGAAAGCGAUCCAGCUGUCACGAGCUUCUGUUGUCGUGUUUUCGAAAGAUUACGCGUCAUCCGGAUGGUGCCUUGAUGAGCUUGUGCUGAUCCUUGAACACAAGAGGACCACCUCGAACCAUGUAGUUUUACCAGUCUUCUACGAUGUCGAUCCGUCCCACUUGAGGAAGCAGAUGGCAAGUGUUGGAAAAGCAUUUGCUAGACACGAGAGGACUCAGUCGUCGAAAAGGGUGAAGGGAUGGAGAGAGGCAGUUGCAGAGGUUGCAGAUCUAGCAGGCAUGGUCUUACAAAAUCAAGAUGAUGGGUACCUUUCAUUUUCUCCAUUUCUCUCCUCUUUCUUCAGUCAAUUUGGUAAUAUGAUCCGUAGGACCUUGAUUUAUAUUAAUCAAUCUCAGUAGUGAAUAAUAAUCCCAAUUUAAAGAAAUCACAUUUUCCAUGGUAGUCUACAUGAAGGACCUAAGACACAAAAAGUAAACAAAAACUCUCAAUUUUUGUCUAGAAUCUUAUCUGCAAGAAAAUCGAAUUAUUGUUGAAACUUGGAUUCGAAUCAAAACAUUGAUUCAGAGCUCUAACAAUCCAAAAUAGUCACACAGCGAACAAUUUCUCAAAUAACGAAGUCAAUACUGGACAUAUAUACACCAAAGAAAAGUCGAAAACCUAGCUUCAAAGUUGGACAUAAAUUCAAAUAAGUACUUAUAAUCAAUUGAGAAUAACUCUAAAAUUAAAGCAGCACAUCCCUCUCUCUCUCUCUCUCUCUCUCUCUCUCUCUCCCUCAGCCUUAUGUCUUUUAUUUUUAAUUUUUUUUACUACUACAGGUCCACUAUCCACUGUCCGCCUUAUGUCUUAAUAAAACACAUAUAACAUAUCAAACACUAGAGAGAAGAUCUACACUUUAGUUCAUCAAAAAAAAAAAAAAAAGCCUACCACUUUCCAAAUGAAAAAAAAAAAUUAGUCUCAUUAGGAUGGUUUAUUACCCAUGACAUGUUUGAUUUAUUUUUUUUUCAUUUCGUUUGUAAAUUCUUAGGUACGAAUCAAAGUUUAUCAAAAAAAUUGUUAAAGUGAUUGGAGGCAAGUUAAGUCGCACACCAUUGAGUGUUGAACCAAAAUUGAUUGGAAUCAAAUCUCAAGUCAAAGACAUCAAUUUGUGGCUACAAAAUGGAUCAAGUGAUGUUGGUAUACUUGUUGUGUAUGGCAUGUCAGGAAUAGGGAAGACAACCAUUGCAAAACAUGUUUACAAUUCAAAUUUUAUUGGCUUUGAAAGAAGUAGUUUCAUUGAAAAUAUCAAUGAAAGAGCUGAUCGACCAAAUGGCUUAGUUCAAAUACAAAUGCAACUUCUUUCCGAUAUUUUGAUCGGUUGCGAAGUGAAAAUACAGACUGUUAGUGAGGGAAUAAUUAAGAUUGAAAGCGCCAUAAGCUCUAGAAAAGUUCUACUUGUUCUUGAUGAUGUGGACCGUAUGGAUCAAUUAGAUGCAGUACUAAAAAUGAAAGAUCGGUUUUAUCCCGGAAGUAAGAUACUUAUAACAACUAGGCGUGAAAGAUUGCUAAGAGCACAUCAAGUUAUAAAGGUGUACAAAGUUGAAACUUUGAAUUACAAUGAAUCACUAGAGCUUUUCAGUUGGCAUGCAUUUGGCCAGGAUCGUCCCACAGAAGAUUACAUGAAGCAUUCAAAAAUGGUAGUGCAACAUAGUGGCGGACUUCUAUUAGCUCUUCAAGUUUUGGGUUCUUCUUUAUCAGGGGAAAGCAUGGGUGUAUGGGAAAGUGCCUUGGAGAAGCUAAACGUUAUUCCUAAUGGUGAAAUCAUGAAUAAACUAAGAGUAAGCUAUGACAGUUUACAAGAUGACCAUGACCGAAAAUUAUUCCUCCACAUUGCUUGUUUCCUAAUAAAAAGGAACAAAAACUACAUUGCUAAGAUACUUGAUGGAUGUGAUUUCUAUACAAUUGUUGGCAUUCAAAAUCUCAUUGAUAGAUGCUUGGUGACAAUUGAUAAAUACGGCAAGGUGAAUAUGCAUGACAUGAUUCGUGACAUGGGGAGAGAAAUUGUUCGUCUAGAAUCAGAAGAGCCUGAGAAACGUAGUAGACUAUGGCGCCAUAAGGAUUCUUUCCAAGUAUUGAGGGACAAGAAUGUAAGAAACAUGCCUUUAAUGUCUGUAUAUGUAUUUCUUCUUGUGAAAAUUAUUCAUACUAACGUUUUCCGCUUUUUCCUUUAGGGUACAAAAAAAAUCCAAGGUAUUGUCCUGAAUAUGCUUAUGCUUCCUGCACAUAGUCCAAUAAAUACAAAUGAGACAGUCUUGGAAACCAAUGCAUUUGAAAAGAUGCGCAAAUUACAGCUACUACAUCUUAGUCAUGUACGACUGGAUGGAUGUUAUGCAGAUUUCCCUACAAGAUUAAGAUGGUUGUGUUGGCUUCAAUUUCCAUUGGAUUCUAUACCUAUUGAUUUUCCUUUGGGGUGUCUAAUUGUUCUUGACAUGCAAUAUAGUAGCUUGAGACAAGUCUGGAAAGGAACAAAAGUAUGUUAGUCUACGCAUUUCAAUUCAGUUUUUUAUUUUUUGACCAAUUGCAUAUGUUAAAAUUAACUCCUACACAUUUUUUUUUUAAAUUUUACACAGUUUCUUCCAUCAUUGAAGAUCCUUGACGUCAGCCAUUCUCAUGCCCUCACUGAAAUCAUGGACUUCUCACUUUGCCCCAGUCUAGAAGAACUAAUUCUUGUAGAUUGCACAAGCCUGAUUAAUGUUCAUGAAUCCAUUGGAAACCUGGAGAGGCUUGUGUACUUAAACGUGGAAGAUUGCACGAAUCUUAGGAUGCUUCCGAAGAACAUGUGUUUGCUUAAAUCACUUGAAACACUCAUUUUAUCGGGUUGCUCAAAUCUUGAUGAGUUUCCAAUGGAGAUGAUGAAGAAGAUAGCUCUGAAAGUUCUUGAAACAGAUGGAAUUCCAUUAAGUGAAUUAUGGACAGAAAGAAGUUCAAGUAUCUUGAGUUCUUUUCCAUGCUCUUUAGUAGGGUUGAGUCUAAAGGGGUGCAAUCUUUCUGAUGAUGCCUUUUGUAGGGAUUUAAGUAGUCUAUCCUCGUUGCGAAGACUAAAGUUAGGUGAGAAUCCAAUUUCCAGUCUGCCAGGUUUCAUCAAGGGUUUGAGGAGGCUCGAUAAACUCUCUUUCAAGGGUUGUGAUAGGCUCGAAUCGCUUGUGGGGUUGCCGAGAGUACACAAAAAGAUGGAUGUAUCCGAUUGCAUAUCAUUGAAAGAAGUAACAUAUCAAUCGUUUAGAGGGUUCCAACUAAAUGCCUUUGCGAGAGAAAACUACAACGUAGUUGAGUGGGAGUACCAUCACAAGUUAGAGCCUAUUGAUAGAGUUGAUGCAGAAAUGAUCAAACUUUUGGGCUUGUGCAACUUGGGAUCCAUGCCUGCAAUUCGAAUGAACAGCCCAAAGGGUUGCUUUCAUUCAAAAGAGGAUAGGUGGAGUCCCGUCCAGGUGCGCUCUCUCUCUCUCUCUCUCUCCCCCCUCUCCCUUUCUCUCAUAAGUCAAAUAUAUAAUGGGAAAUAAAUGACUCAGUAAUGUUGUGAUGAUCAUGGAAAAUGCAUAGGGACUCUAUCAAUUUGGUAUAUUCAGCACAUUUUUUGUUGGGAAUGAGGUUCCAGGCCAGUUCAGCUAUAAAAGUACCAAGUCCUCCAUAUCUUUUAUUGUCCCUUUACUCAUUGCUAGUCACAAAAUCCGAGGCUUAAACAUCUCUGCUACCUAUGCAAAUGAGGAGAAUUCUAAUUAUAUUGAUGAUGGUUAUAAACGUCCAAUAAUAAUCAAAGUGAGUAACAAGAGCAAGGGUCUGAAGUGGAUCUAUGUCCCAGCUUUCUACGGUAUUCCAGAAGAGGGAGAAGAUAUGAUAUGGUUAAGCCAUUGGAGGAUGGAGAGUGAAACAACAUUACAAUGUGGAGAUGAAGUGCUUGUUUUAGUACUCUUGAGCCUUGGUAAGUUUCAGCUCAAGGAGUUUGGUGUCGAGCUUGUGCAAGAGCACCAGAAUAAUAUGAUGAUAAGUACCCAACACAACAUCAAAUCAGAUCCUAAUUACCCUUUUGUCAUCGGUGGAGAUUUGUCCAUGUGGGAGUAUAUACCAGGAAUAUACUUCCUCGGUUGCGAUAAAGAAACUGUUGAAGACACUGAUGUCUUUUCGCAGAGAUUUUUAAAUUGCCUGAUCAUGGACACUGAUGAAGAAGACACAGGUAUGCUGUGUCGUUGUUGUAUUGCAAUGAAUUAUACUGCAUCCAAACACUUCCAAGUCCAUCUGUAUUCAAUCCAAAAACAUAAAUUUUAUGUUAUUUGUAUGUUUUUCAGACAAAGAAAAAGGGCAAGAGGAUGAACCUAAUUACACAAUUGCAAGGACGAGGGCUGCCAGUAACAACUGCAGCCUUGGAGGCUGGAAGGUGCUCCUCACAGCUGCCGGCUUAUUUUUCACGCUUGCUCUAGUAGUUCGGUCCUCCAUCUCCCAGAAAAAAAAGCGACUCUAGUCCACAAGCCAUCCAUGAGUUUGUAAUUUUAUUUGAUACAGACAUAUCUUUGGAUUCCCUCCUUGUUUUUAAGAUGUUUUCUGCCUUCAAAAUAUCGAAGUUCAAAUGUGUUCAAAAUCAUCAAAUAUUGCAUAAAAUACAUCCUACAUUAGCGAUGCUUAAAAUUUUUCUUCCCUGCCACUGAUUGCAUACAAUCAUGUACCAGAGAAGAUAAACAAAUGAUUCUAUAGCAGCAGUAAAUAAUUGGGAAAAAAAAAUGAUUCUAAACAUACAAGGGAAGGACUUUGACAUAGGUAUCUUUAGCAAUACCAGGCAAAAAUCAAUUCUUUGAACUGGGGGAAAAUAUUUUGGCACCGGGGAAAGUGAAAACAUCCUAUCUGCUUAUAAAUGUCAAAUUUACUGGUGUUAAUUGUCAUUUACAACAAAAUCAUGCUUCGUAAAAGAUUCGGCUCCCAUUGAAAAAUUAUGUAAAUUACAUAAAUAUCAGUACAACAGAUAUUAGAUUGACUAAUAUAUCAAAUAAAUUAAGAGCAGACAAUUUCUUAGCCUGCGAUCUAAGGACUAUACAGCUGAUUCAGCCUUGCGUUGCUACUACACUACGAAAGCUGGUUUCUGCUUCUUCAACCCGAACAAAUUAUUAAGGUCAGGAAGCAUAGGAGAAACGACCACGGUCUCUGGAGCCAUGAAAUUUUCUGUCUUCUCAUAAACAUUGUCACUGCUAGCUUGUUCCAUUUUUAAAGUUACAAAAACACAAAAACUUGAACAAUAGAAGUUCGGGAUCGAUUAGGUUCCAAGCCCACUAUAAGCUGAGCAAUACAGUGUCAUUGACUUCAAUGGCUGCAGAUACAGAUUGUUUGAAUAAAACUCUCCUCAUGACUCAGAUUUAGUUCUUAAAGUUGGUUAGACGAGUCCGAAUUGUCUGAAAAUCAUGUUCAUCAACUCCACAUAUCCAAAGCAGCAAAUUAAGGAGGAUACCGGACAUCACUUAGGACAAUACAAUCCUUAACAAUUUCCAAAAGCCACAGUUUUUAUAUGCAAUCUGAUUACAUGUGUUUUGAACUACAGGAAAUCUUAUAGAUUGGGUAAACCGUAUAUCAAAUUCAAAUGCAAUCAUUCAUAUAUGAAGUAUGAGAUGCCCAAUAGUUUUACCAAAAGUUGCUGGGUCAAUUGUCUCAAAACAUUCUUUUAGAAAUUGCUGGUAAAACUCAGAGUCAUCCAAGGGGUCACCAUCAGCUUUUGCACCAGCAUCAGAUUGUGUCUUAUCAGAGUGAAGGAAUAAAAGUACUUAACUUGUGCAAAUAGAAAUAUAACUUUUAUAACACAUCAAAGAGAUAAUUAAAGCAAACCUUACAGGCUACACAUCGAAGCGGCAAACGAAUACUAAUUUUAAACAUAAAGAUGCAAUUAAAGGUAAUGGCGCAUGAAGAGUAUUGAAACCGUCACAGUCCUCACACACAGGUUGCAUGAUCUUUUCUUGUAGCAAUAAAAGAAACAAAUUCAUCAAGUCACAUUGGGCCAUCCAAAAAGAAAAAUGAAGCAAAGUACCAAACACCACAAACAACCCAAAUUUGUUCAAACGUAGUAUCAAACUAAUUAUAGACUGCAUCCAUCCCAAACAAUUAAUUUGUACCUCAUUUGGGAGUUAAAAACUUACAACAGCACAUGGAAAAAACGUAAAUUCCAUGGACAUUCGAUUCCAAUGAACUUACAUGCAAUCAGUAUAGGAUUAUAGUUGACCACAAUUACAUGCAGUCAGUACCUCUCCCUUUGCAGAGUUGUACCCCUCAGGAACCUGCACAUCCACAACUUAUGUUUAAGUUAAUGUACAAAACUUAAGAAAGCCCCAUCUUGUUAUGAUGUUAAAAUUAUGAAGCAAAAAUGAGCAUGCACGUGACAGUCAAUAUCUUACAGGUACCAAAUACAGCAACUGCUGAUUUCCUCAUCUGCAUCUGCCUAACCAUUCUGCUUGGAUCUCUCAUAUAUGAAGCAACUUGUUCGCUAAUAUUCAGCGAUUGGGAAAGGAAAAAUGUAUUCCUGGUGAAUAUCUGGCAAAGCAUGGCACAAGUCCUUCAUAGGGAAAGGCAUGGUUACAAGUUCAAUUAUAGAGCCAGACUUGAUUAAAAGCAUGCAGUUUGCUUUUAAUAGCAGCAGCAUCUGUGGUCACCUCUGUCUUCCUCUGCCAUUUGUUUAUCAAUUUGUUUCUGAAAGUAGCAUUCUACAAGAUACAACGUGACAGGCCUUAGUUAGACCAAGUAACCAACAUGGAAAUGUAAACAAUAAUGAAAAGUUGAACAUAGUAGAACAAAUUUCUAAAAUUCAUGCAAGAGAAGUUGUCGGAGCAUGAAAGAAUUCACAGCAGAACUGCCCAAGAGUAUACUUAAAUUAAACAUAUGGCAACAUAGAUUUUUUACAAGUAUAAUUUACAAAUGCAUUCCAUGGUUCUUUGCCGGCCCCUUUAGAUAACUAAUUUAAUUUAGUGCCUAAUGGAAUUUAAAUUUCAGAAAACUAUCGUCUGGUAUAUUUCAUAUUAAAUAGUUGACAAACUUUAUAACAUAAUAGCGUCAUUUAUUAACUGAUACGAACCAUGUAGUAAAAUAUAACAAAAGUUAGACACCAAGGCAUUGAAAUACAGCAAUAAUAGUAAGGUACUUGAUUGAAUCCACCAUUUACGAGAAUUUUAACAAUAAAACAAUAAAACUUCGAAGUUCUUUUUGCUGCUCCAAAUGGAUCAGCGAAGUAUGGCAUGAAGAACGGAAAAAAAAAAUUCAGUUUUAUAGAUAGACUUCAAUACAGUAAGAGCAUAUGUACAUAGUAGAAUAUGAUUCUUCUUCUCAGAGUAUCUAAUUAUGAUUUGAGUACCUCGACAGCAACUCAGAAAUUCAUGACCAAUCCUCAUCACCAUCACCAUCACUGCCAAUGUUUUUAGAUGACUGUGACAUCUUAGAUCGUCCAGAUUUACCUACAGAACAGGAUAUGUAUUAGGAAAAGCAAUACAUGAACAUAUGCAGUAAGAAGUUAAUGAAAAUGCAAACAGUACAAAGUGGGACAGUCAAUUAGACCAUGGUAGCCCCAAUGCCAACUUUUUUUGCUAAAUGAUGCUAAGUUUUAUAUGAGAUCAAGCAGGAAAGAUAUGUAUUGACAUCCUAGGGGCUUUUUGAAAUCUGGCUUCAUCUUUGCUGUCCUUAGAUCAACAAAACAUGGCUGCCCAACCGAUUUACCUUCCAUGCCAACAUUAUGCUUUUGACAACUGCAACAAAUACCUACCUCUAUAGUGGUGAUUUAAUUGAUGUUUCUGUAAUCAAACUCCCAAAGUGUCUACUGUUUGUUGAAAACAACUGAAUUUCUGACCAAUUGGACUACUUUGAACUUCCCAAAGUGUAAUAUCUUUAGUAGAACAUAACCUGGUCAAUCCAGUAAGUUUUGUGCGAAACUCAUUGAAAUUCCUUACCAUUGAGGUAAACUUGUGGCUCAUUUUCUGCACAUUGAUGAGGCCGUUCCAACCCAGACUCAGCUUCACCUAUAGAAACAGAAAUUAACUAGGACAAAGCAACACGAUGCAUUGUCUCUCUUCAAGCUUGAGAAAAUGACAUACCUUGCAAGAACCCAAAGAACUUGACAUGUUCAUGCUCCGGCCAAUAAUAUCCAUCAGCAUAUGUCCAUUUUAGUACACGCCUAUAUUCAACUAUUUGAAAAUAGAGAAAAUUUAAUAAGAAAAAGCAGUAAACUCUUGGUAGAAAAGUGUGGUAAUUUGUGGUGUACCUGUAGCCAGGCCUCUGUAAUGAACUUCAACUGUGACUCAGGUUGGCACUACGGGCUGGUUUGGUAUUGCUGUGCUUUAAAAAAAAGCUGCUGUGAGAAUAAGCGGUUGUGCUGUGAGAAUAAGUGACUGUGAAAUAAAUCAGCAGAGCGUUUAGUAAACUUUUUUGUAAAAGUGGUUUUGGAAAAAAAGCAGUCUGAUAGUGGGUCUUUUCAUUAAAGGAGCACUGUAACUCCGUGAGCUUUGAAACAAAACCAGUUUUCCAAAGCUGCAAAUAGCAGCUUCAGUUUUUUCCUUUGAUUUCAGCUUAUUCUCACAGCAGCUUCCAAAAUAAGCCCUCACAGCUUUUUUUUUUUUUUUAAACACCGCACACCCACUCAUCUACCCCGCUCCCUUCCUUCUCUCCUUUCUCUCAUCUGCACUUUCUCUGUUACAGCUUCACUCUGUCCGGGAAGUCAUCGUCAAAAUCGACGAAGGCGCAGAUUCGUUCACAAGCACCAGCGACCUGCCAAAAGUGGCAGGAAGAUUUGGCGGCAGUCCAGCAUCGAUUUCUGGCACGAGGACGGCAACGGCGAUGCCGAGAAUUUUGAUUUCGUGCAGCGAGGGAAGACGGAGGAGGUGAAUGGGGAGGAUCCGCCGUCGAAGCUGAUUGCAGCGAGCCUCCGGCGAUAAGACGCUGGAUAUGGAUUUGGAGAUGGAGGAGCUGUAGCAGAACGAGCGCGAUUUGCCGCCCCUCGCCGAGUCGCCGAGUCCGAGAAACUUGUGCAACUCGAAGGAGCUCAAAGUCUCGUAUCAAUUGCCGGCGUCGGACCUCACCGAUACGCCGCAAACUGAGUCAGUUCAGAGGCGAUACAGAGAGUCCCCUGACGAGGAGCGACGCCGCAGCGAGAGGUUGGGCAACGGACAGGACGACGUCGUCCGGUGCACUUCCAACUCCUCAUUCCGCCGAGAGCCUUCGUUCUCGAACAAGUCCGAUUUGUUGAGAAUAAAGACCAAGUCCAGACUAAUCGACCCGCCGGAGGAGCCGGAUUUCAAGUCGGGUCGGAUCUCGCGAUCGGGACAGAUGAGGUCCGGGUUGCUGGGCCGCGGCGGCGACGACUCGACGACCCAUUUCUGGAGGAGGACGUGCCGCACGAGUACAAGAGAGCGAACUUCAACGCAUUGACGCUGCUUCAGUGGGUAAGCUUGGUUUUGAUCAUUGGGGCACUGGUUUGCACGCUGACGAUUCCAGUUCUGAGGGAGAAGAGGAGGGAGGGAAGAGGAGGGAGGGGGUCGGGAAGGGUGGGACAGGAUGCCCAGAAAAAAGUUUUUUUUUUUUUACUUUUUAAAAUUUUUUUUUUAAGCUUUUAUUGACGUGGCCGUCACGUCAUCAAUUAACAACUGACCGAACAUCCAACUUAACGGAUGUACAAAACUGUUCCAAAAAAUUAAGACAUGAGAUAUGAUUGGACUGAAAAUAACUUCAUGUACCAAAUAUUAAAAUUCACAAAAUUACAAGAUAGUAAACUGAGAUUAACCCAAAAAUAAAAAGAAAUUCAUGCACAUGAAGCCUAUGAUAAAUGUCAAUUAAUUGACAUUAAGUCAAAGAAAGUAUCUGCUAAAGCAUAUUCAGUUCUCCCGUCCUAUUCUGAUAACUGUCCGAACCAUGAAUAAGAUACGAUUGGAUCAUCAUCCAAGAAAUGGUACAGGUCGUUCGCAUCCUCAAAUAGAAUUUUCCUGGUGCAACAUAAAAGCAUUGUUGAAAGCGAAUCAGGAUUCUCUCCUGAGCACAUGGUCAGGAUCCUCCUGACCACGCCCAUCGGGUCGUUCAACUUUUAUCUAACGGUUAUAAUUAUUAUAACUUUUAGAGGGCCCCCUGUUUGUAGCAGUUGGAUAAAAUUUAAACGGUCCGAUGAGCCUGAUCAGGAGGAUCCUGACCAUGUGCUCAGGAGAGGAUCCUGAUUCGUUGAAAGCAACGGAAGAAAAUAUGUCAACAAUGGCAUAAUAUAUGUGAGGUAAGUUGGUUUGACAUGAAAAAAAAAAUUGUAAUUGUCCACUCAUAUUUCACGCCUUCAUUGUAUAAGAAAAAUGUCAGUCCAACCACUUGUAGAUCAAAUGAAAUUUUGCUUGAGUAUUUUUCUUUGAACUUCUUUCCACUCAAAAUUUCCUAGCAAUAAAAAACAAAGUGAAAGAGAAUAUAAAGGCGCUUCAAGGCAAACUUCAAGGACUCGCUCAAGAACAUUAUGCAAAAAAGAGUUUGCAUGCAAGCUUUCUCCAAAUUCAAUAGCCUACAUUAUAACAGAAAUAGAAGGGUAAAAGGGAAGAGUUAAUAAAAAUAAGAUUAGCUAGCAAUUUGUUUUGCAUAUAUAUUAGAUACAACACACUUGAUGAAAUCAUUUCUUGCAUAUGAGAUACAACAUUGUCAUUUAACUGCAUACACAGUGCUACAGCCUCUCAAUUUGCUUUUAAGACAGGCAUCCCAAGAAGUUCCUAUAAAACCACCUUUAGUAAAUAUCUGAUAAGCACUCAUAAUGCCUCACCAACAAACCAAAAGGUAUCUAUGUUGAACAAAGAAAUAAAACAUAUUCAAAAGAAUUAAACUGAUUGCAAAAUUUUCAGGGAAGAAAGCUGAUCACAGAAGUUUAGCCAAAUGAACACAAGUUGCCAAAAAAAAAAAAAAGUAUGUAUAAGCAUGGAUACUCAGUCAACUACUAAAUAAUGAGCAAACGAAAGGUCUGCAAUUAGGUACAAAAAAGGGCCAUUGCACCAAAAUAAUAAUAAAAAAUACAAACCACAUUUUUUAAAUUGAUAACAAAAGCAUAACAUCUGAAACACCAUUUUCAGCCAUAUGCAAACUCGAUGAAUCAAUACCAGAGAAACGAAAAAACCUUGCAAUCCUCACCUGCAAAUUCAGAGGCGAUGGAGUUCCGUUACCCACAAAGACCAUAAAUGCACCAAACAGAAUAAACACAACAAUAAUUAAGCUUACUCUCAAUUCAAAGCCUCAAUCUUUAUCUAAGCUAAGCAACAACAAAAAAAGGCAUUGUAAAAAGCAACAGAAAAAUUACUGAGAGUAACGUAAUUUAUACCAAUAAAUUACCAUUCAAAUUCAAUUUUGAAGUAACCCACCCCAGUUACCCCACCACAUUUCCGAAAGACUAAACAAAAACACAACAAACUCACCCCAAAUUUUCCAUUUUAUUCGCUAUCUUUCAAUCAAUCAAACGUACCCUUUAAACUUUUUCAUCAAACAUUAUAUAAACAAAUUAAAAUCCUAAUUCCAAAACAAACCCCUGUUUUAAAAAUUUCUUAUCUGUCUUCAUAAAGCAAUCAGAAAAUGCAAGCGCACAAACAAAUUACGGAACCUUGGGGAAGAGAUUGAUGGUACAGAAGACGGAUAACCUGAGGUGGGAGCUUCGUGCACCAUCCUUGGCUGUUUCGUGUUGUACGAUUAAAAAGGAGAGCAAAACGGAAAACAAAAACCGAAGAUCACUUCGCAUCAGCUCUCGAUUUCCCCAUAUUCAGCUAAACCGCAAUAACCUAUGAGAAUCGUUCAAAAACGAAAAAACCCCGAUAUAUAUAAAAGAAAAAGUCGGAUUUGAGGAAAAUAGAGAUGAAAAAAAUACCCAGAAGAAGGAGAGGAUGAGACGCUGUAUAAUGCAGAAUGAGAAAGGAGGGAGGCACUCGAGAACAACGUUUUAGUUUUCUGAGAAAGAAAACUCCAGAAGCAGAGGAAGAGCGCUCACCGGUCCACUUCCCUUCUACGAUGGCUGACACCCAGACCGAAGAGGCAAAUCAGUAAAUGGCUCAUUUUACUAUUCCAUCGAUUAAAACUUUAUUUCUUUUUAAUUUUUUUAUCAAGAUUUUUGGAUUAUUUUUUAUUUUUAAAUAUAUUUCUUUAAUGUUAAAAAUGUUACUAUUAAUAUAUUUAUAUUUAUGAUUAAAAAUUUUAUCAUAUAUUUUGUUUUUUAGUUUGUAUCCACUUUUAAUUUGCAACCUUUAUUUUAAAUUUGUAGUAUUUUCUUUUUAGUUUUAAUUUGUACCAUGUAAUUUUUUUUCGCGCCCAUAUUUUUAAAAUUUUCAUUUGUACUCAUAAUUUUUUAAUCUUUUUGUUAUAUGUGUGUUUGGGCCCAAAAUAAUAGUUUGGACCGAGGGUAGGAUCAUACUCGGCCCGGGAGGCCGUGCGGCAAAAGGACCAUGGAUCGUUCAGCUCGUGGGCUUCCAAGCCUAGGUUAGUUAGAUCAGAACGCAAGUCGAGUCCUAGUACAAUAGGGAGUCUCGACGAGAUCAAUAAUCCAGAAAGCGAAUCCGGCUCAGUUAAGGACUAGAUUCAUAGUCCUAGUGAAGAUAGGACUGGUCGAGGUGUUGUUGACCCGGAAAGGGAGACCUAAUCCGAGUAGGAGUUUAACUCGGAUUCAAGGUCCAGUGCUAUAAAUAGGGGAGGCUAUGCGUCAGUGAAGGGCUCCAACUCAACACACAAAACUGCCCUGCGCAAACUCUCUCAACAACUUGAGAUUUUUAUUUUCUCUUUUCGCUGACACAUCUUCCGUUGGCAUCAACAGCACUGUGAAAGCAACUGGUGACAUCUUAAGUCGGCAUAGAUAGCUCUGUCAUCGUAGAAUCAGUCGGUCUCGCAGUAUCUUCCGUUGGCAUCAACAGCACUGCGGCGAGGACGGUUGGUUAUCUAUCCAAGUCUCGGUCGAGAAGGAUUUCUGAAUCCUUAUUGAUUGAGGUCGUCUUAUUAGCUUUCUCGGCGAAGUAAGGCGUUACAUUAGGCUCGGCACAUUGCACGCCGAGGUUGUUCAUGAUUGGAUACUCACAGGUGGGAUUUAGAGUUCGGCAUUCCAACGGCCGAACCACGUUCAUUAUCAAGACUUACGUCCGUUUUGAGUAUCUGUGCCCCUACACCUUGGUGUUUAUUCGGCGUGAGUUUACUCUGACGAAUACUAUCACUGUGACCGAAUCUGACGACGACGACUCGUGAACUUCGUAAAAAUAGUAGCCUUGUCUUCAGGCUUGAGAACCCAAGAGGCCGAGGUGUGUUCCUUUCUCGGCCGCAGUCGCAAGACACAGAAGUUAGCCGCGCACCCAACGCAACAUCAACAAAUUUACUCCUCGGCCGAGCUCGGCCGACGAGUUGGCACGCCCCGCAUUCACCGAAGGACGUAGUUAGCUUAUAGAUUACUCGGCCUGCGCGCCACGUAGGCUUUGUAGUUUUUAGGGUCAACAAUGUGAAAUGUACCAAUUUUUUUUAACACUAUACAUUCUUUUGCCAUUUAUUAUUUCUAAUUGUUACAUAGUUUUUAUCCAUUUAUUCAAUCAAAAUGUUUGAAUUUUUUUAAUGUAACCUUCUAUGACACACCCCGUCCUAAGGAGGGCGUGACAGAUUGCUAGUGAUUCAGUUUUUAUUUAUGCGUAUUUCUAUUUAUCUUCUCAGCUUCCGCACUGUGCAUAUGGUUACGUCACGCUCACGUGACGCCUAGCACGCCCUCUUAGGACGGGGUGUGUCAUUUUAUAAUAGUAUUAUAAAGAGGGAUUUUAAAUUUAUUGGAUUAUAAUUCUCAUAAAAUAUCAAACAAUUAAUGUCAAAACUAUAAAAAAAAUAUAAAUAUUAAUAGUAAUAUAAUGAGGUGUACAAAGUCAAUGGACUUUGAUCAAACUCUGAAUAUCAUUAGGGUGCGUUUGUUGCACCGGACUGUCUCGGACUGGACUAGCUGCAGGGACUAAGCUGGACUGGCUUAGACUAGCUUAGUGAAGCGUUUGGUGCAGUGUCGAACUAAAAAACAGAAUAAUAAAAAUUAAUUCACUUUUUAUUUGUUAUUUUUUUGGUUUUCUAGAAUCCCCUAUUUUGGUCAAACUAUUUCCUUCUUUUUCUCCCAUGUCUCUUCCCUUUUCCUUAUCCUGUUCGACUCUCUCUCCCUCCCUCCCUCCCUCUUCACUUCCUCUCACAACUUCAUAAUCUACUGCAAACCUUCAAAAUCAAACCACAUAGCAAAAAAUAAAGUGAAAAUUUAGGAGUUGGGGUUGGGGUGCAUGUGUGAUUGCCUCGAAGGUGGGAGAUGGAUAAGGUUUGCAAUCAGGGAGUUUCAUGUUUUCUGGGUUUGGUUUUCCUUCAGUCAAUCCCAUCGUUGAUUUGAGCUUAUACCCACUGCAGAUUUUGUGUGUGUGUGUGUGUUUUAUAGGUUUCUGGGUUCGGUUUUCUGGGUUCUAUUUUGCAGGUUGGAUCUGGAUUUGAAAAAUGGAAUGACUGCAUAUUUUUUUUGUUUUGAAUUUUGCGGGAUAUGGGUUUGAAAAUGGUUGUGGAAGCGAGGAAGAAGCAGAUGGGAGGGGCGAAGUGAGGAAAGGCGAAGCGGACAGAUGUGGUCUUAGCAGUCCGCCCAAUUUUGGGGGGCCUUGCGAAGCCCCUCUAGCAAAUCGUUUAGUCAGGGUUAGUGUAGGCGAGUCUCAUUAACGCUAGUCCGUGUGUGAAACAAACACAGGAUUACAGUGACAGUUAGUCCAGUCCAAGCUAGCGAAAGCUAGCGAGCUCAAACAAACACACCCUUAAGGUUUUAAUCAAAGAAUGUUAGGGACUAGGGACCGCAUCCAAAGUAUCUAUUAGUAAAUUUACUAUGCCGUGUAGGGAAAAAGGCUGAAAACAGGUAACGAUUGAAGGGGAAAUCCGUCCACACACUAUAGAUUAAUAGUGCCAACCCAAAACUAGGUUUUAGUAUAUAUAUAUAUAUAUUUUUAUAUUUGGAUCUUAAAAAGUGAUGUAUUUGGAUCUUAAAAACUCAAAUUCUAGAACUCGUUUUGAGUUUUAAAAUUUGAGUCCUUGCACUGGAGGAGAAGAAAUUGGACUCAAAAUUCAUAUUUGAAUUUUAACAAGUUGGUUGUGUAUUGGAGAUUAUUGGACUCAAAUCUCAUUAUUCUUGGUUGAGUAACAAUUUUCUUAGUUGGCAUGGGCUCCACUUUCAACUCAAAUCUCAUAUUGAAACUCAAAUUGGGUCUCCAUUCCCCCAGAGACAUAAAUAUGAGUUUUAAGCGAAGUGUAGUCAAUUUGGAUUUCAUAGGAUUUUAAUAGAUUUUGUUAAGGGACAUAUUUUAAAAGAUUUUAAUAGAUUUUACAAUUCUAUAUGGAUUUUGAAAGAUUUAUAUGAAUUUCCAUUAUAAUUUUCUAUGGAUUGUAUGAACUUUUUUCAUGGAUUUCUUAGGAUUUAUGUGGACAUUUUCACGGAUUUAUAUCAAAGUUACAAGUGGCUAAUAUAUUUCUUCCCAAAUUUUUAUCGAAUCACAUCUCAUAACACAUCAACCCAAAAUCUUAGUAGCAUCAAAUUCAUGUCAAAAAUUGCCACAACAUUACACACAUUAUACGAAAAGCAAUUAAAACCAACAGAAACUUCAUUAGACGAAAGGCGGAGGAAAAAAACUCAACCGAUUCGUCAGAUACUUCUUGAGGCAUUUAAACAAACAACUUGUAGGCCAAAAUUGCAUAACCCUAGUUCACCAAACCAGUACAGGGAAUUCCCGAAAAACAAUUUCUUUCCACUUUCUGAUUAAAAAAAAAAAACCCAAUUGCCAUUUUCACGUAUUGACACCAGAUCAAAACGAAAAACCCAAAAUUUUUCAAUUGCAUUCAUCUAACCUACCAAAAAAUUGUUACAGUUACGAUAAUUUAAAUUCUUUUCGAUACUUCAAAAAAAAUUGCAAAUAAGAAGUGGAUUAAGAAGAACACGAAUUAUAAAGCAAAACAACAUAAAGAUAAAAAUAUAAAGAUACAAUUGUUACUCAUCUUCCCAGAGGAACAAACCAAAUGCAGAAAAAAAUACAGCAAAAAUGCGAAAUGCAAGUUUAUAGGGAGGAAUGCUCGGAACUCAGGCUAGGACUAUUCAUCUUCUAUGGUUUGGAAUGAAAAAAAAAAUCAGACGGGGAGGGUUGGAUUGUUGAUGGCAUUUGGUAUUUAUACCACCCACUCUCAAAUCCAUCAAAAUCAUUCAUCCACCAAAAUUCUAGUAAAUCUUUGGCAUUCCCACUACACUUAGAUUUGUAUGGACAUUUUAAAAUUUUAAUUGACUACCCAUAGAUUUGGAUGUAUUAUUUAAAUCCUCUCAAAUCCUGAUUUGACUAAACUCUGAUUUUAAAAUCUUUUAAAAUCCACCUUCAAACUCCUAAUGGACUACACUCUAAUUUUAAAAUUUAUUAAAAUACCAUCAAAUCCAAAUUUGACUACACCCUUAAGUCUCUGGUGCAUUGGAGAACCUUUAGACUCCUAUGUAGAUCAAAUAUAAGAUUUGAGUCCAAAUUUUUUGGUGCAUCAGAGAUGCUUAGUGUGCUCGAAAUAUAAGGCGGUCAAGAUUGAAUUAAACGAUCAAGAUUGAAUUGAGAAAUGACGAUCAAGAUUGAACUAAGAAAAUGGAUUACCCAGUAAUUCAAAUUAUUGAAGACUGACCUAUAUUGGACUACCCAGUAAUUCAAACUAAUGAAGAUUUACCCAUAAAAUGAGACAUUAAUCUUGUCGUCCUUGGAGUACACGUACAAAUUUCUAGGGUAGUGCUAUCACACACCUAUUUUUACUUUUCAUACACCCCUCUCAAUUUUCGGACGUCGGAUAGAAUGAGUUGAAGAAGAACAAUGGCAAAAAAUUAAUAAGGAUGUGUAAGAAGUAAAAAUGGGUGUGUGAAGAACAUUUUUCCAAUUUCUAAUGAUUUAGCUCUUUGAUUUGAACCAUGAGAUAAGCAUGUGGUCUUCAUCAAGGUAAUGGAGUGGCGCGUGAGGAUCGUGUAAAAGAUUGAAAACCAAGAAACGAGAGGGUAUCAAAUGAUUGAGAGAAGUGUGUCUGGUUAGGACAACGAACUUUUAUAUUGACAGAUCUUUCCCAGCGACCGCCCAUAACUUUGAGCGGAAGUGACUAUAAAUUCUUGACCAUAUCACCAAGCAAUCGAAAUUCGUUAUUUUAAAUGGAAUUGCACAGAUAAUUCAUGUGAUUGUAGAGAGAUGUCUCAAAAUAAUCUGAAAGAUUUAAGAAUACUCAUGUGGUGGAAUUAAUUUUCUCAGUUCAAAUUGAGACAAUUGUGAUGUUGAAGGUUGGUAACGUACAAAAGGGAAAAGAAGGAGAGGCCGAAGGGCACGUCAACGACUCAAUGCACAAUAAAGAGAAAGAUCGGUUGUGUUUAAUUCCAAUCAAUUUUUGUCACAAUAAAGAGAAAGAUCGGUUGUGUUUAAUUCCAAUCAAUUUUUGUCAAAUGUGUGGUUUGUGUUCCUGGGUUUAUGCUUAGUGUGUAACUUUUUGACAGAACUUGAGCGAAGAUUGUUAUCGAAACAAAUUUCCGCCGUCUCUUCAUUUGACGAAAAUGCACCUACAAAAUAAUAACGCCUAAGAUUUGUUGGAAAUUAAAUAUUAUAAUUUAAAGGGUGCCGCAAGGGGCGCCAUCCCCUUUAGUGAUGUGUCUGUUAAAGGGUAUUACUUAAACUACCUAAACCCUAAAUGAUACAUCUCUUCGGCAAACAAUAUAUUUGAGUUCUAUAAAAACUCAAAAACUAUUGUCUUUUAAGAUAUAGAAUUAAGAAAAGAGUUUCCUCCAAUGUCUUAGUAAAAAUCCGAGUCGUGUCUUGAGAGUACGGUAUAUAUGAAGUUCGCCAGAGUCUGAAGAUUGAAGUGCUUUGACUUUGGAUUAUAGAUUGUUGAAUCCUAGGUGACGGACACCUACCGAACUACAAGCACAAGGGUAGGGGCGAAAUUCUGUCUUUAGAACAUUGCAUUUAUGCAAGCCUCAAUUUCUAAGUUUGUCAGUUUUUCUAACUAUAUCUUUAGUUGUUUAUAUGAAUUUUGUAUACUAUUGAUGUUGUGAAUUUCUUUAUGAUUAUUAUUAUUGAAAUUUUUGUGUUAUUUCCAUAUUUUCUAUUAUUGCUUGUAUAUAUAGUGUACAAAACAACACAAGAAUUUUGGGAUUUAUUGAUGAUGAUGAUGAAGAUAGAAGGUUAUUUGUCUUAUAUAUAUUUAUUAGAAAUUAUAAUCUAACUGCUUUUAAAUUAAUCUUAGUUUGAAUUUGAUUUCUCUUGGCAUUCUAGGCAUGUCACGAUCAGGCAAUGUUUUAAAGUUUGAGGCCUGGUAAAAUUAUGCAUGUUGCCACUGUUGUUGAUGUUGUUGUUAAUUAUAUAAAUUGUAUGAUAUAUAGAAAUCUCAUACUUGGCUACUACUCUAUGUACAUGUCUUUUUUAACUGCUUUACAUAGAAAUUAAAAGAUGGAGAUUCUAGUUUCCAGAAAGAUACAGUGAUAACAAUUUUUAUUAUAUGGGUACUGGAAUUAUUAUAAGAUCUGUUUAAAAUCCAUGUUUAGUGUUUGUCUCCUUUUUAUGAAGAAAGGUGUCGAUUAAGGCCAAGUGAAAUGGUAUGAUUGUGAGGAUGUGAAGACAAAAGGGGUUCCACAUCGGUGAAAAGAGAAACAUAACAAGACCUUAUAAGGAAUUGGGUUGUUCUCCAUAUUGUCAAUUGGUUAUGUGUUGGAAUCCCAACUUUCUUCAAUAGUCAUACAAAAUUGGCAUUAUUUGCAAAUCUAAAAGGGUCAUAAUGUACCAGUUCGUGGACUGAUGCAAUAUUUCUUUCGUGGGACAAAGGAGAUCAAUAUUUGAUCGGGCACGAGGAUGAUUAAUAGGUUUUUGUUGAGAAAACCCUUAUAUUCAUCAAGAUGUCAGCGAAAGCUCUUGAUGAAGAGUGAAUACCCAAAUAAAAUGGGGUUGUUUUAAAUUUGUAUUGAAAUAGUUGGAAAACGCCAGUACAAGAUAUGAACCCAACUUCCAUGGUAUCAUGGAAUAUAAGAUGAGUGCAGACUACUCAUAUAUAAGUGUCCAUUCAUGGAAAGAAUGGAAUACGUACGAAGAAAAUUGAACAAUUACUCAGGCAUAUAUGUGCAUAUGCAAAAUUGGGUCUAGCCUUCAUUAAUGAUAAGAACCCAGAAAGUGGAUGAAUUUGGCUUUGAGAAGCAACAAAAAUAAACUGAUAAACUGAACUCAUUUUAGAUGAGUUAUCUAUCAACGUCGAAAGAUGCUUAUUUAAUUAUGGGGUCAAGGUCCAAGACUUAUAUUGAACCAUGUGGCGGUUAAGUUGCAAAAAGAUGCAACUAUUUAACAAAUGGAUGGUUUUGUAAUGUGGUGGAAUUGGAAAUUGAAAUCUACCAUGUGAGAUUCAAAGAAAAAGCAUGUCAUUUGAAGUGCUGUUUUUGACAGUGAAAGGGUAUGCCACUGCCUCCAAAAUGAUAGAUUUUGCUCCUUUUCUGUCCCCAUAUGCGCAUUGCCAUGCACUUGGACAAUUUUUCCACGUCUAGUGCAUACAAUCGAUGCUUCCUAUCAUCCCAGGAAAACCUCGCAUCUCGCCCUUCUUCAGAAGCCUUUGCAAGUCCAUAUGAGUAGGUCUUCGGAGGUACUCUGCGGUGUACAAAGAUUUGACUGCUCCGCAAAACCUCAUCAGGGCCUCAAGAAUGGUUGAUUUCCCCAUCCUCGUUAUCUCAUCCACUUGGUCUGCAUAUCCUUCAUACGCAAGCAUCCGCAAUGCAUCAGUGAUUUUUUGCUGAGGCAGGAGACCCAUAACACCACAAGCAUCCUUCUUUUGCACAAAGUAAGAAUCAUGGUUGCAAACAUCAGUCAUGAUUCUGUUGAACAAAUGUCGUUCCAUUCUAAAACGGCGUCUGAAGCACGUAUCAGGAAAUGCACUGUUAUGGACAAAAUAAUCAUCCAACAGCUCUUCACCCUGUCGUUGCCUGCUUCUAUCAAGGUUUCUUGAACGGUUGGGCCUGCAUAUCUGAGCAACAGUCUGGAUGACUCGACGGGAAUGUGAGGUUCUGGCCAUUCUUGUUUCGUCAUCUCUCCUUCUACGCUCCUCAUCCUCUUCCAUCUCAUUUUCGGCUAUCUGAAGGUUGAACAUUCCUUCAGAUUGGUUAAACAAUUUUUCCUCUUGCUGAUCGAUUUCCCACAUCAUCCUUGAUGAAGAAAAAGACAUUGUAAGGAUGGAUGGUGAAGAAGAAGCAUAAACUAUGAAUAAUUAGAUUGAGAUGUUGAGAAAAUUGGUGUGAGAUUUGUGAGGAUGGAUGGUGGAUUAUAUGGACGAUUCAAAAAGGAUUGGAUUGUAGAUAAGGCCACGUGGCAUGCCAUUAUUCGUUAAAAAUAUGAUCGAAAUCUAUCCUCAAAGAUUCUGAAAAGAUGAUGACACGUGGCACGAUCGUAUUGGAUAAAAAUCUUAUCGAUAUCAAUCUCCAAUAAUUAUCUUUUCGGAUAAUGACACGUGGCGCAAUUUUGAACGAGUUAAAAUUUGAUCGAAAUCUAUCGUCAAAGAUUCUCAAAAGAUAACGACACGUGGCACGAUGACAUUGGAUAAAAAUCUUAUCGAAAUCCAUCGCUAAAUAAUUGUUUUUUUUAUAAAAUGACACGUGGCGCAACGAGAACGAUUUAAAAAAUCUUAUCCGAAAUUACAAAUAAUUUUAUUUUGUAUUAUUUAAACAAACAAAAAAAACUAAUAUUUUAUUGCCUAUUGCCAGGGGGAAGGCUCCAAUGGUGGAGAUGCAAAUGGCAAUUACUGUUCAUUAAUGACAGUUACUAUUCAUUAAAGGCAGUUACUGUUCAAUAUGGUGGAUUCAAUAGUGGAUUGCCAGGAGGGAGGGUUCCAUGAGUGGAGUUGCUCUUAAUGCUGGAAAUGUUUUUCUCCUUAAUUGUAUUGGGAACGGUUUGGACUAGAGGUUUUUUUUUGAGUUAAGUGUCGGAUUGUCCCCGUGAAUAGUCAUUCCUAAACCAUUUGUGUGGGCUUAAAUUCUUUGUAAUUAGUUUAAAGCAACGUCGCUUGUAAUAAAAAAACAUUAUAUAAAGCAACGUCGCUUGUUCAUUUUUUGAACUGUUGCAAAGUUUGCAACUACUUAUUAAUCUUUGAAACUAUAAGAGCUGUCUUAUUAUACUUUUUAUAUGCUACUUUCCUCCAUCGUCAUUUCUCUCCUUGCAUUUUAUGACUAACUAGCUAGCCAAAAUGUAAAUGCCAAAAGAUUGUUGGAGCCAAAUAAUAAAGUUCAACUCUAAUUGAAUUACUUAGUUAUAAUUGAUUUGAAUUAGGGUCAGAGUUUUAAUUAGUUAGCUAUUCCUUGUGCCAAAAAGAAAAGUGAAAUCCGUAUAUUCCUUCCUGUUGGUUAUAUGGGGUUCUUAUGUGGAAUACAUUUUCAUGGGCUUUAUAAGUACGGUUUAUAGCAGCCGCCAGUGAGUAUAAUUCUAGGAACUUGAAACUUAUAUAAAAUUGAGGCCCUAUGCACACUGCUAACACCACAAUAGCAAGAACUCCCCAUCAGUUUAUUGUAUAAGGAGCAACAGUGCAUAGAAGUGCUUCAAUCUAUUCCGUCCUGAAGUUUGAUCAUCCAUAAAUUCAUCAUGUUGUCUUCUCAGGUAUGCAAGGUUUACGUGUUUUGAUUUGAUGAACUGAUAAAGUUUACAAAGAUUUGGAGUUAAGUUGGUUAUUAAGAGUGUUUGACAAAUAAAUUACACAUGAGUCUUGCGUAGUCAAGGAACUUAUAUGAACAUGAAUUUGAAAAUUGUGAGUGUGCCACUACUUGUUCCCGCUAAUAGACUAUAUGAUGAAAAAUUGUACUAUUUAACUUCUAACUAAAAUGAAGAGGCUCAACUUAAAUUCUUUCUUUGUCUUACUUAUUUAAGAACUCCUCUUACAUAGAUAUAGAACAAGGUGAAAAUUAUUGGAAUAUGAAUUGAUAUGAAUUUGGUUAUAUAUAUAUAUAUUCAAUGAUAUUCAAUUGCAAUAGAAAAGAGCUGCAUUUAAAUUGAUUAAAUAAGGGAUUUGAUAUAAUGCGGCCACCGCCUAAAACAUCUUCUCCCCAUCGACCAACGCCCAAACAAAAGGAAGACUAUUCCUUUAUUGCCAAAGCAAGUCUAAGAAUUUCUCUUUUUCAAUAUUUGUUGUAUCAAACGAAAUAGUUUAUCAUCCAAAUCAUGCUUUACAAAUCAAACCUCCCUUUCCAAGCAUACAAUUCAAAAACAAAAAAUUUAGAAAAAAAAAAGGUUUGAUCUUAAGAAUGAUCGCAAACAAGCGAGCCAAGAACAGACAGGCUUUGGGCUUUUUAUUUUUUAUUAAUUCAACGUAUUACAAAAAAAAUAUUUUGGAGCUGCUUUGUCAGUAUAUAUUUGAAAACAAAGGGAAAGGGACACAGAUGUAGUUGGUUAAGAUGCUUCUCGAUUAGCUAUGAAAUCUUUAUACGUGCAUGGGUGUUGGCUGGUCAAUUUCUCACCUGCUCAAGCAUGCAUAAGCUCAGGUUCUAAAGUAUAAUUUAUACCCUGGAACUAGCAAAUUAAACUGUUUUUUAUGCUUUGACUAUAUACUAUAGUCUGUUUGUCCGUCCUAAAUAAAUAUUUUGUUAUAAAUAUGAUAUAUAUUUUUUCUCUCAAAACUGUUACGUAUGUGAUCAAUUCAAAAAGCACUACAAUUUAGCUUGUCAAAUGAAAAGUUUGAAGCGGUAGGUGUUAAGUUCGAGUUAUCUAAAUUAUGAGUUUGAUAUCUAAUUAUUAUAGCUGAUUUAUUAUGUGACUUAACUGAAUCCGUUAACCAUUAGGGUUUAUUGUUUAUACAGAAAAAAAAAGUUUGUUGUUGGGCUACUUAGUGAUCAACUUGCUAUAUCAUCAUGUUCAUGUGCCAUAUUUUGUUAUUGCCUAAUCACCUGUUCUUGUAACAGUCGUCUUGUUUAUCCAGAGACGGACCUUGGAUUUCAAAGUUGUCUGAGCUAAAUUUACCUCACAUACAAUACAAGAGAUAAAGGAGAGGAAAUUACUUUGUCACAGCUACACGAAACUAAUGUAUUUGGGAUAGGAUCUUCAGCCAUUACUGCUAGAAAUGCUCUUCUCGUCGGUUGUAUUUGGAACAAUUGAACUGGAGGUUUCUCUAUUUAGUUAAGUUACUUUCCAACCAUUUGCGUUUCAAAUCCUCUUCCUCCUCUUAGUCUAGUUUAAAGCAAUGUCACUUGUAAUAAAGAACAAUAUAAAACCCAAUUAGUCAAUAUUUAUGACAUGUUUACUUCAAGUAAAGAUACAUAAACCGUUGGAGCAAGGGAAUAAGCAAAAUAAAUCUGUUUAACUAGCCACCUAGUUUAUAUAAUUCUUAAUUUUCAGAUAUUAACUUAUAAGCUUUCAGGCGGGAGUUGUCCACACCUAGACGGAUUUCAUUUGUAUUAAAACAACAAAAUUUAAAAAAUCAGAAUGAUUUGAAUUCUCAUAUACAUGUCAUUAACAUUAAAAUUUGAAACAUAAACCCAAUAUGACGCAUUUUAUGGUCUAAUUGUAAUAAACUUACGAUGUAGUUCACCACAUGAUGUGCAUAAUUAAAAUAAGGCCCAAUGUUAGCGUACUUCUUACUCGCCCAAGCCCAAAACUAGAGUUGAGUUCGGUUUCAAUCUGUUCAGUUUUUUGUCAAAACCAUAACUAAACCAAAAUUUCGAUUCGGUUUAAUACUUUUAGGUUUUUGUUCGAUUCAGUUUAAUUUUAGUUUGGUUUGUUAAUGUUAGCGUACUUCCCAAUGCUCCCUCUUUUGUCUUCUUCCUUACUUGGCUUCGCGCUGAUUCGUUUGAACCUGCAAACGACCACGGACGGCUUUUCCGAAACCUUAGUUACGUCUCGUAUGAGCCCGAAACAAAAAGCCGAACAUUCUUCUCGCAACCAAAAUAUCAUCCGACCGGAGAAAAGUUAAGCACAGCAGAAAUGGAUCUGAGAGAAAGCGUCAUCAACCAAAACGACUUCGCUCUGGGGCUGACGAAGCAGCUGCUUCAGACCGAAGGCAAGCAAUCGAACCUCGUGUACUCGCCGGUGUCCAUCCACGUGCUGUUGAGCCUGAUCGCGGCCGGCUCAAAGGGUCCGACUCAGGACCAGCUGCUGUCUUUUCUCAAAUCAAAGUCCACCGACCACCUCAACUCCUUCGCCGCCGAGCUCGUGUCCAUGAUCUUCUCCGAUGGGUCCCCUAGCGGCGGCCCCCAGCUGUCGUUUGCUAAUGGGGUUUGGGUGGACGGGUGUCUCCCUCUGAAGCCUUCUUUUAAGCAGGUGGUGGACACCUCUUACAUGGCUGCUCUUGCCCAAGUCGAUUUUCAGACCAAUGUAAGCUCUCAAACCCACUGUCCUGUCGUUUCGAUUGUCUUUUUUUCCGAGGAUGCUCUUGAUCAAAGUCUUCAAUUUUUUCGAUGUGAUUAGAGAUGCUUGUUCCUUUGUUGAACCUAAAUUGUAGGCCUGCUGAAUCUCUUUUACUUGUAGCAUUUCAACUAAAAAUUUCCUUUCUCUAAUCAUUAAUGUUUGUGCUUGUUAGCUAUUACAGAAUCAUAUCGUAAUUCGUAGAUUUUUGUUAUAGUACGAUCAUCACUAGGUUAAUAGUAUUGAAGUAACAUGCAGGCUGAUAUAUCAUUGUUUUCUAACUUGUCGUAACUGUUGCUGGUGCUCGAGGCUGCUCAAGUGGCCUCGGGAGUGAAUUCAUGGGCUGAAAAGGAGACGAGAGGCCUUAUCAAGGAGGUACUUCCUCCCGGGUCAGUUGACAGCUCAACCAGGCUCAUCUUUGCAAAUGCGUUAUACUUCAAAGGAGCUUGGACUGAAAAGUUUGAUGCAUCACAAACGAAAGAGCAUGAUUUCUACCUUCUCGAUGGGAGCACAGUUAAGGUGGCCUUCAUGACCAGCAGGAAGAAGCAGUAUGUAAGAUCCUUCAAUGGUUUCUCAGUCUUAGGGCUUCAUUACAAGCAAGGUGAAGACAAGCGAUGUUUCUCCAUGCACAUGUUUCUCCCAGAGGCGAAAGAUGGGCUGCCAGCUUUGGUUGAGAAACUUGGUUCUGAGUCCGGGUUUUUGGAUCGCCAUCUUCCUAACCAAAAAUUUGCAGUGGGUGAUUUCAGGAUUCCAAAGUUUAAGAUUUCAUUUGGGUUUGAAGCUUCCAAUGUCCUUAAAGGUCUUGGCUUGGUGCUGCCAUUCGGUGGCGGAGGAGGUUUGACAGAGAUGGUGGACUCGCCUGUGGGUAAGAACUUGUACGUUUCCGGCAUAUUCCAUAAGUCGUUCAUCGAAGUGAACGAAGAAGGCACAGAAGCUGCAGCUGUGUCUGCCGGGCGUGUUAGGCGUUUGCGUCUGGUAGUGCCAAGGACGGUUGACUUUGUGGCCGAUCGUCCAUUUCUCUUCUUGAUCAAGGAAGAAUUGACCGGAACUGUGCUUUUCAUCGGGCACGUACUCAAUCCUCUUGCAGACUGAGCGUUGUUAUUCCCUGUAAAAGGCAAAUGUAUACGUAGAACUACACGAGAUUAUAUAUAAAAUGUAUGAUCAUCUCUAUUAAAAUAAAUGUAUGAUCAUCAUGUUCACGUCGUCUUGUUUAUAUAUAUAAAUGUAUGAUCAUCUGUGUUAAAAUAAAUGUAUGAUCUUCAUGUUCAUGUCGUCUUGUUUCUCUCAUAUGGCUUUUGUUGUUCGUUCUGCCAUGGCUAUACCUACCCGAAACUGUUGGAAAUGCUUUGGGGAUAGGCUUUUACCCAUUAAUGCUGGAAAUGUUUUUCUCCUUAAUUGUAUUGGGAACGGUUUGGACUAGAGGUUUUUCUUUUUAGUUAAGUGUCGGAUUGUCCCGGUGAAUAGUCAUUCCUUAACCAUUUGCAUGGGCUUAAAUUCUUUGUAAUUAGUUUAAAGCAACGUUGCUCUUGUAAUAAAAAAACAUUAUAAACCAAGUGCUCGGUAAUUAUUGCACGUUCAGUUAACAUGAAUCGGGACAAGUAAAGAAUCAUAGAACUUACGAGCAGGGAAUGUACAGAGGGAAAAUUUAUCUUAUCAACUGGCCAUGUAAUUUACAUAAUUCUUGAAUUUUAGGUUAAGUUAUAUUUUGUAGAUCAGGCGUAAGUUGAUUUUUUUUUUAAAUUAUUAAAGAAAUCAAUCAUCAAUUAUCACAUAAUGUGAUUUGUAAAAUAUUGUUCGAGUAGAUAGUCUCUCGAGAAUGACUCAAACUUUAUAAUGAUUUUGAUUUUUAUUACAUAGUAAUCAUGUCAUUAAGGUCAAACUUUGAACAAACAUCCAUUUACAUAGCAAGCAUGUUAUUAUGGUGUAUGCUCAUCGUCGCUUUCAAACCUUGACAUGUGUCUUCUAACAUAACCAUAAUGAAAAUUAUACUUUCAAAUUUAUUUUUUUUAUUUUGAAAGGAUGUCAACUAGUGCCAAGCUAGGACUAGAAACACAAUUUGGCAACAACAUUCCAUAUUUACCCCUGCUUUUGCUGGCUGUAUCUCAAAAAUAUAUGGGCAGUCCUCCUAAUUUUCAUCUUCUUACCGGAAUCUCACCCCACAAAUCAAAUUACAGCCCACAACUGCCUAAUUUUUGUUAGUACCAAAAUCAAGAACCAAUAACAAUAUCUUAUUAUUCGUUGCAGUUUAAAUGACACUUGUUGAUGAGUUUUGUUGCAGUUAAAUUUCAGGAUAAUAUUAGAGAGACUAAAUUUGAAGAUGAAAUUUACAAAUUAAAUGUUAUGUCACCAAUAAAAAUGAGCAUGUUUAUUAACGUUUAAAUGAUAAACCAAUUAUCAACUUCUAUAUAUGUUUGAACCCGAUGUUACACCAUCGGUUCGAGUAAUCGAGGCUAUUGAAUAAGCAGAAUUUUAGAUCGUUGAAAUUAUUAGAAAAUCUGAGCAUGCACGAUAGUUAUAACGGUGAGAAAAGUUACGGUAAUAUUAGCGUACUUCUUACGUGGCCACGCCCAAAACGAAGUCGUGGCAACUCGCGCGAAUGCCACUGCUCCCUCUAUCGUCUUCUUUCCCGCUUGGCUUCGCAUUGAUCGUUUGAACCUGUAACCGAUCACCGAUCACCGACGACCGACACCGACUUUCCUAUUUUCUCGAUGGUGAGAAAGCAUACGGCCCAAUAUUAGCGUACUUCUUACGUGGCCACGCUCAAAACGAAGCGUGGCGACUCCCACGAAUGCCACUUCUCCCUCUAUUGUCUUCUUCCCCACUUGGCCUCGCAUUGAUCGUUUGAACCUGCAACCGAUGACCGACGACCGACACCGAGAUUUUCCCAAACCUUGGUCCUUACUCUCGUAUAAAUUAGAAACGAACAGCGGAACAAUUUUCUCGCAACCGGAAGCACAGCAAACAUGGAUCUGAGAGAAAGCAUCAUCAACCAAAACGACGUCGCAAGGAGGCUGACGAAGCAGCUGGUUCAGACCGAAGGCAAGCAGUCGAACCUCGUGUACUCGCCGCUGUCCAUCCACGUUGUGCUGAGCCUGAUCGCGGCCGGGUCAAAGGGUCCCACCCAGGAGCAGCUGCUGUCGUUCCUCAAGUCAAAGUCCACCGACCACCUCAACUCCUUCGCCUCCCAGCUCGUGUCCGUGAUCUUCUCCGACGGGUCCCCCGUGGGCGGCCCCAAGCUGGCGUUUGCGAAUGGGGUUUGGGUGCACAAGCCUCUCCCGCUGAAGCCUUCCUUCGAGCAGGUGGUGGACGCUUCUUACAAGGCCGCUCUUGCCCCAGUCGAUUUUCAGACCAAUGUAAGCUCCCAAACCCUCUGUCAUGUCGUAUCGAUAGUGUUUUUUUUCAAUGCUGCUCAUGAUCAAAGUCUUCAAUUUUUUUCGAUUUGAUUGGAGAUGUUUGUUCCUUUGUUGAACCUAAAUUGCAGGCCUGCUGAUGCUCUUUUAUUAUUGUAGCAUUUCAAAUAAAUAUUUCCUCUCUAAUCAUUACUGUUCGUGCUUGUUCUUCUGAAUAGCUUAGCUGUUACGAAAUCGUAUCGUAGAUUUUUUGUUCGUUACUGUUUGUGGUUGUAAUUGAUCGAGAUAUGCAGGCUGAUAUCAUUGUUUUCUAACUUGUCGUAACUGUUGUUGGUGCUCAAGGCUGCUCAAGUGGCGUCGGGAGUGAAUUCAUGGGCUGAAAAGGAGACGAGCGGCCUUAUCAAGGAUCUACUUCCUCCCGGGUCACUUGACAGCUCAACCAGGCUCAUCUUUACGAAUGCAUUGUACUUCAAGGGAGCUUGGAAUGAGAAAUUUGAUGCAUCAGCUACAAAAGAGCAUGACUUCCACCUUCUCGACGGGAGCACAGUUAAGGCGCCCUUCAUGACCAGCAAGAACAAGCAGUAUGUAAGUGCCUUUGACGGUUUCUCAGUCUUAGGGCUUCCUUACAGACAAGGUGAAGACAAGCGGCGCUUCUCCAUGCACAUCUUUCUUCCACAGGCGAAAGAUGGGCUGCCAGCUUUGGUUGAGAAACUUGGCUCUGAGUCCGGGUUUUUAGAUCGCUAUCUUCCCAAACAACCAGUUGCAGUGGGCGACUUCAGAAUCCCAAAGUUUAAGAUCUCAUUUGGGUUUGAAGCUUCCAAUGUCCUAAAGAGUCUGGGACUGGUGCUGCCUUUCGAGGGUGAAGGAGGUCUGACAGAGAUGGUGGACUCGCCCGAGGGUAAGAAGCUAUAUGUUUCUAGCAUAUUCCACAAGUCGUUCAUCGAAGUGAAUGAAGAAGGCACAGAAGCUGCAGCUGCUUCUGCCGGCGUUAUAAGUGAGAGGAGGAUGCCCAUGACAUUUGUGGCUGAUCGUCCAUUCCUCUUCACGAUCAGGGAAGAAACGACCGGAACAGUUCUGUUCAUCGGUAACCUGCUCAACCCUCUUGCCGGCUGAGUGUUACAACCCCCUGGGAAAGGGCAUCAGAUGUACGUAGAAUAAUACGCGCGAGACUGUAGUAAAUAAAAUGUAUGAUCCUUGUAUACAUGUACUAUGUUUGGUUAUUACCUAAUCACCCUGUACUUGCAGCAGUUGGUCUUGUUUCUCCCAUGUGGCGAUUUUUGUUUGUUCUCCCAUGGCGUUUAUCCAUGUGUAGAAUCUUGAUUCUGAAUACUUAUUUUAUGAUGUACUCUGUUUGAACAAUAAAAGUUUUAGCCGACUGCAAACGUCGGUUAGUGUUAAAGUAUUUAAUAUAUAGAAUGGACGAGUGCUAGUGUUGUACCAUACACAUGGUUGGUGAUGAAAAAGAUUAAACUUUGAAUAUUCUAUAAAAUAUUAUUUAACUUGGGACGAGGAUCUUCUUUGUGAGGAUCUUAUGAAUUAAUUUAUCUUAACGGUUCAUUGUACAUCGUGUGACCAUCUUUCAUUAGAUACUUUUUGUGUUAAAUUUUAAAUAAAUUCAAAAUAAUUUUUGGCUGCAGGAUGAUUGAUAAACAGAUAUGAUGCAUUGAUUCCUAAAGUCCUCACAAAGAGAAUCCGGAUGUUUAUAGUCCUCCAUGACUGGAGAUGGCCUAAGAUGCUAAACACUUAACACUACCCAAUUUUUCCAGUUAGUUAAAUUUUCACAAUUAGUGUAUUAAAUUGCUUAAGAAAUGUUAUCAGCACUCUAAAAUAAUUGACCAUAUUUUCUUGACUCUUUUGUUAAAUUGCAUGAAGAUUUUUUUGGAUAGUCAAUAAUAUCUCCCAAUUGCUUAACAUAGAAUUAAAUAGAGUAUCGCUAACUAGAGCAUGAUAUGUUUCUGUGUCUUUGAUGCCCUUUGCUCGAGAAAAUUUAGUAUAGGGUUUUCAUCACAAAUGGUCCCUGACAUUGAUCAAACACAUCAUUUUGGUCCCUGACAUUGAAAAUCAAUAGAAAUGGUCCCUGACAUUGAUCAAACACAUCAUUUUGGUCCCUGACAUUGAAAAUCAAUAGAAAUGGUCCCUGACAUUGAUCAAACACAUCACAAAUAGUCCUUCCGUUAAAAACGUUUUGGGCAAUUUUCAAAGCUUUGUAACUCAAUCGUUUCUUAACCAAAUUCGACCCAUAAUAUAUCAAAAUGAAGAUAGGAAAGUGUAGAACAAGAUUAUACCUAUUUGGAAACCCAAUGGUUGCCGGAGAUGGCCGGAAAACAGCCUCAAAUGUGACUGGUCCGCGAAAAAACUGGAAAACUCGCCUGAAAUGGGGUAAACUUUAAACAUUCAUAACUUCUUCAAUAAUCAACGAAAUCGAGUGAUUCAAAAAUGAAAAUCAUACUUCUCGACGAGACUAAGAGAAUGGUAGCUUUCUUGAUGGCUAACUCAUUGUAGUUUGGCCGGAAAAUGACUCGAAAUUGGCUAACUCGAAAAUGGUUAUCCAAGUUCGAGCCAUUUUCCGGUCAAACCACGGUAAAUUAGUAGUCAAUAAAGAUACCAUUAUCUUUCUCUCAUUGAGAAGUAUGAUUUUCAUUUUUGAAUCACUCAAUUUCAUUGAGUAUUGAAGAAGUUAUGAAUGUUUAAAGUUUACCCCAUUUCAGGCGAGUUUUUCAGUUUUUUCGCGGACCAGUCACAUUUGAGGCUGUUUUCCGGCCAUCUCCGGCAACCAUUGGGUUUCUAAAUAGGUAUAAUCUUGUUCUACACUUUCCUAUCUUCAUUUUGAUAUAUCAUGGGUCGAAUUUGGUUAAGAAACGAUUGAGUUACGAAGCUUUGAAAAUUGCCCAAAACGUUUUUAACGGAAGGACCAUUUGUGAUGUGUUUGAUCAAUGUCAGGGACCAUUUCUAUUGAUUUUCAAUGUCAGGGACCAAAAUGAUGUGUUUGAUCAAUGUCAGGGAUCAUUUGUGAUGAAAACCCUUUAGUAUAUGAACGACAAACUACGUGUUAUUACGGCCACAGACGAUAAUCCAGACUAUUUGUUUAAUACUUAAGCUUACUUGUGGUCCCAUUAUGUAAAAAAAUUUUGCAUUAGUCUGCACACAAGAAAUUUUUUAUUGGUUUCAGUUGAGCUCAAAUAAUAAUAAUCUGUUCGUGUAAAAGUUAAAAUUUAUCUUAUUAUGUAAUUGAUUUAAAAUACCGUAAAUACUGAUUUAAAAUUAUCUCAUUGUCAGCUUGUGUGUCAUUCUCGUAGAAUUUGGAAUUAUUCACAUUGUUUAGUAACGUAGGAUAUUUCAAGAAGCAUUUUUGCUCACUAUCAUUUAGUGUAAUGUAUAUUCAUCAUUCUAUUUAUCAUCGUUAGAUGAGUUUGAAUUUUAAGAUCCGUGUAGUGGAUAGACACAAAUUUCAAAAUUCAAUCUCAUCUAACGAUAAUAAAUAUGAUGAUGAACAUAAAUCAAAUAAAUGAUGAUGAAAAAAAAUACAUAGAUAUUUCAGUACAUGAAAACGUCACGUUAAUGAAAGGAGCUGGAGCGCCUGCUGCUGACCUCGGUCAAACAGACGGUGUGGGUUUCACGUGGCUGGCGCGAAAUCUAAACCGUUAAUUUAAUGUUAGUUAUCUCUCCCCUUGUCACGACUCCCAUGUAAUGCUGUAAAGUCACAAGCACCCAUCGUUUGGUUCUAAUAUUACAACAGUACCGCCCAUGGAAACACAAUCUUAAGCAAUCUCUAAUACUCAUAAUGUUGUUGAAGUUUUGCACUAAUAAUAGUUGCUAAACAGUGAUUAGACAGUCAGAUAAGAGACAGGGUUUAUGAUGUGAUUUGGACGUCCCAUCCUUUGCCACUUAAAAUGUCUUACCUACCAAACAUAUCUUGAAAAAUAAUUUAGCUUGGUACGAAGAAUCACAAUUUUUGUUUAUAAUUGACGAAAUCAAUCAAUGCAUGUUUUUUAUCAAAUCAAUAUUUAUUGGGAUAUUCAUCCUUAAAAUCUUCAUUUUGUUAUAAAACAACAAUAUAUUUAUUAUUUUUAAAAUUUUGUAAUACGUUUAUUUAAGUAGUGACUUUGAACGUUUUAAAAUUGAAAAAUCAAUAUUUAAAUGCAAAGUUGUCCGUUUUGAAUAAUCUCUAACAAUAUUUUCCUUCUCGUAAAUGAGUAAGAUUGGUUUAUUUUGUACACAAUUAGAUAUUGAGAGUUGAAAUUCUAAAUACUAAGUUCUUCUUAACAUAUUUUCGUAACCAUUUAAGAUGUUUGUAUAUUCGAAGAAUAUGGAAAAAUUGAAUCAACCCAGAUUAUUAUUAUGGCUGUCGACAUCUUUUAUCAGAGGAUAGCCAUCAAGUCACACCGCAUAUCCAGAAAGAGAAAUCCAUCCAAAAAAUAGGAAAACGAAAUGACAUUCCUUAUUUUCCUCCAUGGACGUCCCUUCUCUCCCCACCACGAAGGUCCCAGCUGAAAAGAAACGGAUGGCACAAUCGUGAUUAUCACAAACAGGAAUGUCAAAUUGUAGCAAGAGCAUGGUCAGCGCCGUUACAAAUAAGUGGAAGUUCCUCGGAAGAGUAAGAGAACGCGACAAUCAUAACGUAAUCUAUCUCUUCACUUUCUCAAUCCUUUUCUAUCUUUUUUUUCUUUCUGGGUUCCUUGUACUUCUCAUAAAUAUUAAGAGUUUAAUUCAAAAGAAAGGAACUUUCUCUUUCAUUGCUUACAUUUUUUUUUUCAGAUUAUUUACUUUCCCUUCCUUGCAGUUGCUUGGAAGAAACCAAGCUCAGAAGACCUUUGUUUUUUGAGAAUUCAGUUCAAUCCGUUUAUAUAUAUAUAUAUAUAUGGUGUUGAUGAUUUACCAGAAGUGAUAGUGCUUCAACCGAGAAGAAGAAGCUUUUAGUCUUCAGAAAUUCAGAGAAAAGAUAAGGAAGUGGAAGAGUGAAGGAAAAGCAAAUCAAAAGAUGGGAGAAACUGCUCCUCAUCCUCCACCACAGGUGGUUGCUCGGCCGUCUCAGAUGCCUCUUGGGGCAGCGAAGGGUCCCCAUUUGGACUCCAACUGAGCAGCUCCACAACCUUCAGUAUUGCAUCCACUCCAACCCCUCUUAGCGUUAGUCUCUCUCUGUUUCUGUUAAUUUCUUCGUUCUGGGUUUUAUAUUUUUUGAGUAAAAAGCUGAUUAAAGUUGUGCUAUUUUAAUGGGUUGGUUUAAAAGUUGAAGCUUUUGGCACUACUUCUUAUUUAGUUUACUAGUUUGCUUUUUAUUCCUAAUUUUGCAAAUUACUUUUACUAUUUUUGUUUCGGAUUCUCUAAUUUAUUGUGUUCGAAUCUUUUUAAGUACUGUAAUUAGUUCUAAUAAAAUAAUAAGCAUAUGUUCCAUUACCAGUUUCAACUUAUCCUGCUUACAAGACAUCGAUAUCACUCGAAAAUGUUUAGGAAGUGUAAACGUAAAUUUCCCAUGUUUAUCAAAUGCAACAAACUGCUUCUAAUGGAUCGAAUUUUACAGCGGAAACAUUCGUACUCGCUUUUCAGCACUAUAUUGUGAUGCUCGGAUCCAUAGUUAUAAUUGCCACUAGUUUCGUGCCUCGGAUGGGUGGGGAUCAUGUAAGUUAUGUCCUCUAUACAGUAAAGUUUAUAAUAUGCCGGUUAAGAUUAGCGAUCACACACGUAGCUUUGAAUCCGUGAUGUUAAUGUUUGGGUUUUGUUCUCCCUUUGUGAUCAGGGUGACAAGGCACGCGUGAUUCAGACGAUGCUGUUUAUGGCAGCAAUAAACACUUUGAUCCAAACAUUCACGGGACAAGGCUUCCAACAGUGAUGACUUCGUCAUUCGCUUUUACCCUUCCGGUGAUGUCAAUCAUCAAUGAUUAUUCUGAUCGGAAUUUUAGAAGUGAACAUGAGGUAUGUAAAGUUUGAAACAUGUUAUUCAUAGAGGAUUUAACAUCACAUUAAUUUACUUCUUAAAUUGCUUUAAGAAAUUUCAGUUAUAGACUUUGAGAUGAAAAAUACGUGGUGCAAAAAACGUGUAAACCUUACAUACCUGUAGAAGACGUCAUGAUGAAUUUCUGGUUUUGAGGACGGAAUAGAUUGAAGCACGUCCAUGCACUGUUGCGUCAUAUGCAACAAACUGAUGGGGAGUUCUAGGGUUGUGGCAUUAGCAAUGUGACAGGGACCUCAAACUUACAUAGGCCUCACGUCCCUAGAACCCUACCCACUAAUGGAGACUAGAAACUCUUAUGAUCCUCUAACGAGAAUAAUAAAGCCAAUGGAAAUGUUAGCACACAAUUGUUGUACAUAUAACAGACUUCGAGCAAUUUUUGGAACACGUAAAACAUUGUUAAGAAUAAGAUCAUGAGUAUUGGUUUUAAUGGUUGUUGCAUCAAUAUUCUUAAUGGAUAAACCUGUUCCAUUUCCAACUGUGAUUUUAUCAAAACCUUGGAAUGGUGUAACUUGAUUCAAUGUGGUGGCAUCAGCAGUGAUAUGAUGAGAUGCACCAGUAUCAACAAUCCAUGCAUCAUGAGGAAUAUAUUGUUCUAUCUGCUGUGUUGCCAUAGCUGUUAAGUUUGCAGGUGGUUGUUGGCCUUGAAAAACAUAAUUCCCUUUGUGAUAACAUUCAAGAGCUGAGUGACCUUUUUUUCCCACAAAUCUGACACUCCAUUUGAAAUCUAGUAUUUGGUGUAGUAGCAUUUCUGUGAAAACAAUUGACUGCAGUAUGCCCUUUCUUGUUGCAGAUUUGGCACUCAAUCACUGUUGUUGACCUGCUCUCUGUGUUUCCAUUCCACACAUUUGAACCAUUUGACCUUGAAUUGCCAUACGAAAAAUCAGAAGAGUUUCCUAUGUUGUAACCCUUGCUUUUGAAUCCACCAUUUGUCUUGUAAUUAUUGUUACCCUUGUAGUUUGAACCACCAAAAGGUUUCUGCAUGAAAUGAGGUAUUGGACCAGAAUUUGAUGCAUUAGCCAUAAACCCAAAACCAUAGGGAACUUGAGGAUAAACUGGACCAGGAAAUUGCGGAGACAUAGGAGGUUGAGGCAUAUGAGGUUGCUGUGGAUAUUGUUGUGGCAAGACAAAUGGCUGUGGUUAUUGUGGCUGUGGAUAUUGUUGUGGAUAUUGCUGUGGUAAAACAAAUGGCUCAGCAGAAUAUGGAUAUGGAUUAGGAGUUAUAACACCACCAGUGGUUGCAGGUAAAUGACUAUGCCCUGCAGGAUUAGACCCUGAAGCAAAUGAAUUUCCCUGAGUUGACUAAGAACCCUAAACAUAUAAGGCAGAUAGACUUUGAGACCCAACACUUGUGUCUCAUUCAAUCUCUUUUUCAGCUCUAAAUUUUUUCAAGGAAAUGGAUGAUUCUUUGCCAUAUAUCACAGUUCGAAUAGUUGCAUACUCCUUCGGCAAACCAGCUAAACCAGCAAUUAUAACAUCAUUAUCAGAAAUGAACUCUCCAGUAGCAGUUAAUUGUUCUCUUAUACUCUUCAAUCUUAACAGAUAUUUAUCCAUCAAAUCUCCUCAUUUUUGAAUGGUGUACAACUCAAUUUUUAAAUGAUUUACCCUAGUUUUAGACACUGAAGCAAAUCUAUCCACAAGAUUCGACCAAGCCUCACAAGCAGUUAAACAUCCAAGAACAUAUUUAAUAGCCUCAUCAAACAAAGUAGCUAGUAAAAGACUUAGUAAUGGAUAUGUGGAUUCCCAUUCAACAUAUUCAGCAAGUUCAGAAGUAACUCCUCUCUUAGUAUCUAUUACAAAUUUUUGUGGACAACCAAUAGUGCCAUCAAAAUGCCCAAACAAUUUAUGACCUUUCAACACAUAUUUGAACUGAAAAGCCCAUUUCACAAAAUUAUCAUCCUUCAACUUUAUUGUGAUCAUUCCCAGUUUCAACUUUAACACUUGAAGUAGUCAUGAUUUCUUGAUCGAACACAUAGAAUUUGCAAAUAACAAACAAACACCCAAAAAUUUCUGAUAUACGUAUUGAAAGGAAAGACUGAAACUUUCUCACAACCCAAGCAAGACUGAAACUCGCUUAAUACUCAGGAAAAACUGAAACUUUCUUGAUGAAUCUUGCACACAAAUACAACACACAAUUCCAAUUCGGAAAAGAAAACACAAAAUCUUCUAAUCAGGACUGAAACCCAAUUACUCAACAGAAAUUCACACUAUCACUUGAAUUGCAGCUGUGAUUGCAGCCACAAAUAGCCAGAAUACCAACCGCCAGAAAGAACAACAAGGAUCUGCAAUCGCCAGAACUUUUGAACAAACCCGUUGAAAAGACCUUUCAGAAUCCUUGAACUGGAUAGCAGCGAAAGAACUAGGAUCGAAAACGGUAGUGAACCAUGGUCAGCGAUGAUACCAUAUUAACAGUGUUGAAUUGUGGCCAAGUGGCCAUCACCUUUCGGCUAAUAAACAAACAAAGAAAAGAAAAAGAAAGACAAAAUGAUGAGGAAACAUCAUGAUGAGGAGGCAUCAUGAUUAUGCUUUCUUGUAGUUUUUUAAUAACCAUAAUUAUUGUUUUUGUUUCGGGUAGAAGAGAAGAAAGGGAGAGCUCAUUUUUUAGAAGAAAGCAUAUUAAAGAGAGAAGAGGAGAGAGAGAAGGUAGAGCCUUUUGGUUAUAAAAGGCAUUCGAUUAUGCCUUUGGAUGUGGGAGGGGGGGGAGCGGCAGAUGAGAGAGCACAGGGAGAGCAUUCGGCUCUCCCAUUUGAAUAUGAGCUGCUCCUUCCCACCAUUUGUAAUAAUCCCAUUUUGUUAGUAAUCACUCAAUCAAAGAUGUUGGUGCUACUUGUGUAGCUUUUGGGAGAGAAGGAUUUUGAUAUGUGUUUCUUCUUCUCCAUUUGUUUCUUAGUUUGAGUGAGAGCUAUUGGGUGUAUGUGGGAUUUGGGUUUGAGUGUUGAACUCUAUUUGUAAUCUCCUUUUGAUAUUAAUGGAAUUUCCUCGCCGUCUCGGAACUGGAUGUAGGCUUACGCCAAACCAGUAUAAAAAUCCUUGUGUCUUUUGGAUUAUUUGUCUUGUCAUAUUUUGCCGUUAUUAGCUUUGAUUUCAUAUUUGAAGCUUCCGCACAACAAGUGGUAUCAAAGCUCCGGGUUUCGACUUGGAGGCUUUGUACUAGUAUGUCUAUGAAAUCUUCAAAUGACGGUGAAAUAUGUUUUUUGGAAAAAUUCGACUGGAGGAAUGACUUUGGCAUUUGGUCAAUUGGAGAUGCAGAGUUUGGCUGCAAAAUGCGUGGCGUUGAAGAAGGAUAGUAAGGGACUAUGCUGCAGUCAUUGAGCUUGCAGAUUGGAGAAUGGUUUCGGAAACAGCGUGUCUGCUGCAAUGUUGCCGUCGAUGUUGUUGAAGUGUUGGUGUUCGACAGCUGCAGAUGUAGUGUACUGCUUUUGGUGGGUUCUCUGUUGGUCAUCGCUGCACCGGAGGUGUUUGUGGGCUGUUGUCGACGAGUUGAGUGGGAAGGAGAAAAGGUAGAAGCAGUUGAAAAUUGAAAAGAAAAUGUUGGUUCUUUUUCUUUCGGCAUUUGUUUUGGCAGAAGGACAUCAUGAUGACAAAUGAUGUUGUUGGCUGGAAGAAAAGGGAAAAAGGCUAAGGCUAAGUUUUCUUUUCUUUGGCAUUUUUUCAACGGCAGAAAAUUUUUGGUUCUUUUUUCACUCCCAUUAGUUGCCUUUGGAGCAAGUUGAUGGAAACAUUGGAGGAGUUUGUGAGGGCCAAUUUGUUGAGUUCUGCAAGUUUGGAUAGUGAGGCACCACACUAUUUUGGAUACACCACAUGCACUGCAGAACAUUUGUGUGGAACCCUCUUGUAGAAGGCAAGUUAUAUGCUUUCUAACUUUGUUUGGUCUAUGGACAUUUAGUUGGAUUUGUUUGCCACUGCUAUUUGGUUUGUUGGUCUCCAUCAUCUGCAAUUAGUUUUCUUGAAGACUCCAGUUGAGGUAUGGUUUUGGAUCUCCUGCUGAUUAUUUGAAUUUGAAAUUUUUGGUUGUCCUGUUGGUGCUCAUGUGAUGAUGGUAAACUUGAGUGGAGGGCAUAGUUUUUUUGUAUGUGGUAUGUUAGACCUUGUUGCCAAAUUUGUAAUCAGUUUUGACUUGGAGAAUAUGCCGUGCUAUUUGAAUGAGUCUAUUGAUGCAGUUUAAGACCAUGGUGUUUGUAAGCAGGUGGAGUUCGUUCUGUGUCCAACUUUGGUAUGGUGUGCUUGAUCUUUUGUUAGUGAUAUUGAAGAAUUUCAGUUCUUCGUUUGAAUCACUUUUGUUUUGAUCAAGGCACUUAUGGUUUGCAAAUUUGGAGAAUACGGUAGAGAAAUGGUCUACUUUUGUUGGCUUUGGUAUAAUUUGAGUCGAGGUGGAGAUCAUUAUGAGUACCGGAAAGUUUGGGGAAUUUGAUUUAGUUCCCGUUGUCUUUAGUUUGUACUUUGGGUGAUUAUGGUGAUUGUUGAUUCGAUUCUCUGUGAUGGUUUCGGAACUUGGCCAAGGUGGAGAUUGUUGAAUUGUGGCCAAGUGGCCAUCAUCGGCUAAUAAACAAACAAAAGAAAAGAAAAAGAAAGACAAAAUGAUGAGGAAACAUCAUGAUGAGGAGGCAUCAUGAUUAUGCUUUCUUCUUUUGUGGUUUUUUAAUAACCAUAAUUAUUGUUUGUUUAUUAGCCGAAAGGUGAUGGCCACUUGGCCACAAUUCAACAAUCUCCACCUUGGCCAAGUUCCGAAACCAUCACAGAGAAUCGAAUCAACAAUCACCAUAAUCACCCAAAGUACAAACUAAAGACAACGGGAACUAAAUCAAAUUCCCCAAACUUUCCGAUACUCAUAAUGAUCUCCACCUUGACUCAAAUUGUACCAAAGCCAACAAAAGUAGACCACUUCUCUACCGUCUUCUCCAAAUUUAAAUCCUAUGAAGAAAGGGAGAGCUCAUUUUUUAGAAGAAAGCAGAUUGAAGAGAGAAGAGGAGAGAGAAGGUAGAACCUUUUGGUUAUAAAAGGCAUUCGAUUAUGCCUUUGGAUGUGGGGAGAGCGGCAGAUGAGAGAGCACAGGGAGAGCAUUCGGCUCUCCCAUUUGAAUAUGAGUUGCUCCUUCCCACCAUUUGUAAUAAUCCAAUUUUGUUAGUAAUCACUCAAUCAAAGAUGUUGGUGCUACUUGUGUAGCUUUUGGGAGAGAAGGAUUUUGAUAUGUGUUUCUUCUUCUCCAUUUGUUUCUUAGUUUGAGUGAGAGCUAUUGGGUGUAUGUGGGAUUUGGGUUUGAGUGUUGAACUCUAUUUGUAAUCUUCUUUUGAUAUUAGUGGAAUUUCCUCGCCGUCUCGGAACUGGAUGUAGGCUUAUGCCGAACCAGUAUAAAAAUCCUUGUGUCUUUUGGAUUAUUUGUCUUGUCAUAUUUUGCCAUUAUUAGCUUUGGUUUCAUAUUUGAAGCUUCAGCAAUACAAACAGUACAAGAUCAAUGAAUUCCUAUGAAUGAAUAAACUAAAGAAAUCGAAGAAAGAGAAUAACGAGAGAGAAAAGCUUUUCAUUUAUAUUGCUCUAACAGAAAAUGAUUACAUGAUAAAAAUCUAAGUCUCCAAAACAAUAAUUAUAUAGAGACUAGAAUGAGCAGAAUCACAAUAUUGCCUUUCUAACUAAUUCUUAUCUUCUAACAACCUCAACACUCACAAGCUUGACACUUGUCAUUUCUUACAACCACUCCUAACAAAUCCUAACUGUUUAUCUGGUUAAUAUAACGGAUGGCCGACGACCGAC